rnacentral:lncRNA from 1 species
AGACAUUAACAACAUCAAAUGACAUAAUACUAAUUACUUAAGUACUUAACAUUUUAUUCCUUAACAUAGAAAGACAAAAAAACGCACUCAAAAGUUCAUACAAGUUAUUGCACUACAAAACAAGGGUCUCCUCCUUUACAUAGGUCACCAUUUUUAUUUCAUUACAUGCCUGCUUAAAACUAGAAAAUUUCACAUUAGUCCAUAAACACGAGACUAUGUGAUUAUUAUUGCCUUUUAACUCUUUAUUCAGAUGCACGCUGCCUCUGUCGAGACACGAAGUAAGACUCUUGUGGGUUGUUGUUGAAUAUCUCAUCCACCAACCUCGAUGACACCCCAAAGGCCAACUCCUUGGCUUGGCUAUCCCAUUGUCUCACAUGGUUGAUUUUCCCAGCCACGAAGAUCCUCUGGUUAUGGUCUGGGUUAAUGUUCUGGUUGUAAAGACCGAACCCAGUCAUCCUCAGGUUCUGGUUUUGGGAUGCAACGAAUGUAACUGGAAAGUUUGCUGGGACUACAAAUAUGUCUCCACGCGACAACCGGGACCUUAUUUUCCUGUAUUGUCCACUUCUCCUUUCCUCUUCUUGUUCUUGUUCUUGUUCUUCUUCUUGUUCUUCUUCUUCUUCAUAUGAGCUUUGCCUAGGAAGAUGAGGAGAAACCAUUUCAGCGUAUCCAUUUCCUUCGGUAACAAGGAUCACGAAUGUAGCCUUUGAAUUGUAGUGCGGCACAAAGAUUGAUCCCUACAAAAAAAGGAUUUGAUUUUGGUUAGUAUAAUGAUGGAAAUUAGAGGGAAAAUAAAGGGUGGUUUGGUUUUAAGUACUUGGUUUAAUUGCAAGGCUGAAACGGUGACAUUGAUGUCCCUGAGUUGCCGGAAUUCACGUGGGCAAGCCUCGAAGAAGCGGCCGUUUUGGUUGGAGUAGCGAGGGGUUUGGCUCAAUAAGUUGAAGGCGAAUCUCUCGCCACUUUUCUCCCUUGGUGAAGUGGCUUCUUGGCUCAAUGCCCUUAUUUGUUCCUGGCUGGCUUUACGGAACAUUCCCUGUCCCUGCUGCCUUCGACGGCUUUGCCUCCCACCAAACAGCUCGUCUAGCUGCUCACUUCGUGUCUAAUACAACACAACAUGAAUGAAUCAAUGAAUAAUCAAGUUUUAUUAAAAAAAAGUUGAUUAAUUAGUUCAAAGAGCAAUACAUUGAAGGCAGGCUCAAGAAUUUCACGACUAAAGGCUCGGAGAUAUGACUGAGGGCGUUGGCUUCCAGCUGGGAAGAAUUCCUGCAGCAAAAAUAUAAGUAAAUAUCUAUAUAAUCAAAACCAAACAAAUUUGUAAAUGUUUUAAAAAUGUAGGAACCUCGAAUUGUCCAGGGUUAUUAACAGGGCGGUGAAGCACUGCUAUGAUUAGCUUUUCCUUGUUGUCUUGGUUAGCCAAGUACACAGUGCUUCCUGCUGGGACGCUGACUACAACUCCCGGUACUAUAUUGUAGGACUCUUUGUUUUCAUGUGUCAAGAACGUAAGCGUUCCUCUUCCUGUGAAAGUAAACAGUUUACCAUGUUUUAGUUAAUGGUGUUAUAUUAUAUAUGCUGAUAAAGGGAAGAGGAAAUAGAAGAAUGUUCACCGUUGGUGACAAGGUAAAUUUUCUCAGCGUCACAAUGGUGUGGGAGAACGAAAGUGUUGGGGUUUGCUUCUAAGAUAGAUAAGCGGAACUCAUUGAUGCCCCUAAGAAUAGGAUGCCUUGAAGCAAACCUUUGGAGGACCCUGAAAUUGCCAUGUUCUUCCCUGAAUCGAGAUUGGAAUGAUCUGCGAUGGAAGUGGAAAGGAUUAUGGCUUUGUUCUUGCUCUCCUUCUUCAGUUUCCUCCUCUUCUGCUUCUUCUUCUCUCUCUCCCCUCCAUGGAUUCUCCUGGUACUUUUCCCUGCAUUCCCUCACACAUUGUUGCUUCUUUUCCGGCCUUUGUUCUUGCUGGUGGCAAUGUUGCUGACACUCCUGGAAUUGCCUCUGGGAUUGUUGUUGUUCUUGCUCGAAUCGUUUCAAGCACCUUUGUUGGCAUUGUGGUUGUUGCCUUUCUUCUUGUUGUCGGCAUUCUUGCUUACACUCCUCGUAUCUCCUCUGGGGAUCUUCAGGGCGGUGGCGCUGCUGUUGAUCUUUCUCCCCAUACUGACUUUUACAACUUUCUUCACACUGCUGUUGCUCCUUUUGUCCACGUGUAUCCCAUUCGCAUCUCCUCCGGCAGUCCUCGUACCUCUUGGAAGGAUCAUCGUCGCCUCUUCUGCCGGGAAAGUCUUUGGCAGAACAAAGCAAGCCAAAGGAAAGGAAAAGAGAAAAGAGCAGAACUACGCAAGCUGACUUAUUCCUCACCAUGAUUACGAUAGCUCUGUAUUUUGUUACUGUGUGAUGGUAAUAGCAAAGAGUGGUAAUGUAUUUAUAGAAGGUGGAGCUGUGGAAGCUGAUAUUUUUGCAUGCAAAUCUUCAUCAACGUGUUGAAGACAUUGACAUGCAAGGUGACGAGUGUGCAAAUUAAAGAAGACGAAAUAUUGUCUUUCUUUUUUUAUAGUGGGGGGUAGAUAUCGAGAUGCCACAUCCCUUCACGUGGUACUAGCAAGGUUCGGACAAACUUUGCUGCAGGGGGGUUCAUGGUUGUAUCUGUAACUGGAAGGGGCGAAAUGAUGAUGCUUUAACAGCAGAAAGAUGAUGGACCGUGUUGUGUUGUACGUGGACUGAGUUGAAUUCAAAGAGUGUUGAAACUGGGAAGGGUUUUAAAGUGAGAUAGAGAUGUCCCGAUUCACUGAGUUAAGGUUUGAGUUGAUAGAGGACAACUCAAGUGUACACAUGUUGCUGUGCAUGGUGAUGAUCUAUGAGUUGCGGGAGAUAUGAACAAAUUCAGAUAUGUAUAUUUUUGGUAUCCUGUACGUUUGAUGCUCAGACAAAUUAGUCCUUUCAAAGUUUGAGGUAUUUUUAUUCGUUUUCAAUAACAUUAUCUAAGUAUUACAUAUAAUAUCAUUAUACAAAUUUAUAAUAACAAUGGAAAAUAAAAUGUUUCACUAAAAACACUUCAAAGUAAGGAUUUGGAUUCAAUAUAGAUGAUAGGAUAUAAGUUAUACAGUCCAAGCUAACAUAAGGUGCCACAUGUUAAGAAAUAUGGUAAUUUAUUUUUUCAUAAAUUUUGAAUUAAUUAUACUUAUUCAUUAAUAAUUUUAUAUAAUCCUAACAAUAUUAUACUAUGUUAGUUUAUUAAAAACAAACAAGUAGGCUAGGGGCUAGGGACAUGACUCUUUAAUUUUAUGACUAUUUUUUUAAAAAAAAUCUUAAAAUUUAGGGUUAAUAAAAACAAAGUAACCUAUAUUUAUUUGGUAUUUAAAAUAUUUUUUAAACUUAAUUAAUACUUAAACUUGUAAAUCAAUUUGAUAUUUUCUUUGAAUAUUUGACUAAUAUCAUUAAAAUUCGUUGACAUAAUACUGACGACCAAUAACAUAGCAACAUGUGUCAACAUCACAUUUUGACACGCGGUAAAAAUAAUAAAAAUUUUAGAAAUUUUUAUACAUCUCAUUUUAGACAUACUUUUUUAGUAUUUUUUUAUAUAUUUUAGCUUUUUUAUAACAUAUUAGAUUUUUUAUAUUUUUAUUAUUAUUUUGACAUGUAAAAUAUACAAAUCUAAAAAAUAAAUAAAUAAAUAUAUAUAUAUAUAAACAAACAUCUAGUACAUAUUUCCUCUUCGAUGCUUCUUGUAACGACCUAAAAAGUGCAGGCAUUGGAAAGUGAAUUAUCGGGCCUCCAUUUUAGUGAAACAAGUUUGUAAAUAAUUAUUAAAAAUAUUUAUAGAAUUAAUUAUAAGACCAAUUGGAUUUUAGUUAAGUGAAUUUAGUUGAAUUAAAGUUAAUUGAGUAUUAGGACUAAAUUGAAUUAAGUGUGAAAGUUAAUUAUAGAAUAGUGAAAGGAGAAAGGACUAAACUAAUAAUUAAAUCAUAAAAAGUGACAAAUGUGUGGUAAUUAUAAAUAUAUGUGUAAUAAAUAUAUGUAUACAUUUGUAAUUAAUAUAUGUAUGUACUUAUUAAGUAAAAGAUAUUUAUAUAUUAUAUUAUUAUAAUAUAAAGUAAAGAAAUAAAAGAAAUAAAAGAAAAAGAGAAUAGAAACAUAAUAGCAAAACGAAACAGAGAAGAAAAGAAGAAAAAGAAAGAAAGAAAAGGGAAAAGUAAGGUUUUGAGGUUCCAAGCUCAAUUGCUAAUAUCGUGCAAGAGUCAUUGUCCGAGAAAGGAAAGGAGAAGGUGAAUAAGGAGUGACUCGAGAAAAUUACGGUUAGUAUUACCAUAAUUCGAAUUUAAUUAUUAAUUGUUAAAAUUUAAAUUAAUAUACAUGAUAAGCAAAUUGAGGUAAGUAUCAUGAUUGAAUUAAAUGAAAAAUAUGUAUUGGUAUUGAAUUUAUUAAUAGUAAUUGUUGAAUUUUGAAUAAUAUGUUUAGUAAAUAAAAAUAAGGUAAAUAUCGAUAUUGAAUUAAAUGAUAUUUAAUUGCAUGUGAAUUGAAUGGAAAUUACUAGUGAUAUGAUUUGAAUUAAAAGAAUUAAUGUGGUAUUGAAAUGCAUAUUGGAUUGAAAGAUUGAUUUAAAUUGUGAACAUGAGAAAUUGUGAAUUGAAUGAAAUUAAAAUGAAGUAUGAAUAUAUAUAUAUAUAUAUAUACAUAUAUAUGAGCAUUUGAUGGUAUACUGAUUGGAAAGUGAAAAAUGUAUUGAAUUAAAUUGUGAUUAAAUUGGAAUGAUUUGAAUUGAAAGUAUGAGAAAGUGAUUGAAUUGAAAUGUGAUUCGGAAACCCUAUUAACUAGUCGGGAUGAGUCGGAUAUAGUUGGCAUGCCAUAGGAUUGGAAGAGUUCAAGGAUACUUCGACCUAGAGUCAAUGAGACAUUGGGUGUCAUUAUAUUUCUUCGGAUAGUUUUGAUGAGGUACUGGGUACCAAUUUUCUUCGGCUCUGCCGAUGAGACACUGGGUGUCACUUUAUUGCUUCGAACUAUCCGAUGAAGCACUGGGUGCCAUUCUGGUGUGUUUGGUUUGAUCCGUGUAUCCUCCAAUGUCCGAGUCUUGUUAAUAGGGGUAAAUAAUUGGAAUGAGAAAAAUUGAAUAAGUGUGAUUGAUUGAGCUAUGGAAAGAAAUGAGAAAGUGAAAUUGUGAAUUAGAAAUCGAGAUAUGAGAUUUGAAGAUAUGAACCCAAAGUUCAUGAUUUGAUUAAGAGUAAAUUUUUGUUAUAUGAUAUUAGUGAGUACAAAUUGCAAUAGAAUUGAUACUGAAUAUAGUGAUAAAUUGAAUGAAUUGCAUAUGAACUUAAAUGAACUAUUGGAAUGAGAUGUGAAAAAUCCAAUAAAAUUGAGAUAGUGAAAUAAGGUAUGAAUACAAUUAAAUACAAGAUUGAAAUAUUACUUUUUGUUAUUAAUGAUCAAGUUGAUUUAAAGUAUGAGAUAAUUAAUGAAUAAUUGUAGACAUAAAUUAAAUGUAUAUAAUUUAUCAAUUAAUAUUAUUAAUUUGAAUUAUGGUAAUACCACUGAGUAUACCCAUACUCAGUGUACGGUUGUUUCCGUGCGCAGGUUAAUAGAAAGUCAGUAUCUGGUCUAGCAUCCAAAGCAAUCCCGAUGUAACACCCCGACCCGUGUCCGUCGCCGGAUUAGAGUUACGAGGCAUUACUAAACAAAGCACACAUCCGAACAAUUUACAAGUACACAUAAACAAGUCUCUUAAAUCAAUCAAAUUUUAAAUCAUAAAGCUAACAUAAACUCUUUAUGAAUUAUUCCAUAUUUUAAAACGAACAUAUAUAUAGUCACAUAAAUCAUAAAAGAAAAUAUCAAAUAAAUCAAAAAUCACUUUUUCAUAAUCGGCAUAUCAUGCGUUUACAUUCAAUAACUUACAUUGACUGAAUGUAAUAUACUUAUCAUUAUAAUUCUACAUACAACUUAGUCAUUAAAAUUCAAAUAACAAAACCAAUUUACUUAAAACACAUAUACCCUUCUAGUUUUAUUAUAACACAAGUCACUAUUCAAAUGGUCAAACCCAAAUACAAAAGCUGGAAAUAAACUUGCUAAUUCAUAUGUUUUAGUAAAUAUCUAUUUUCAUUCAACUAAAUUACAUCGCACGCAAUUGAUAUUGCAUAGUACCGAACUAAAAUAUAUUGUUCCAUAAUUAGCAAUUUAUAACAAACUCAUCGCUAAUAUAUAUAUAACAUGUCCGUAUGUAAGUAGGCUUAAUACACUAAUCAUAACUAGUUCAUUAUGUACAUAUUAAACACUUAUUCACCUAUUACAAGCUUGUGCAUGUGUGUACUCCAAAUGGGUCAUUUCCGAACAUCCAUAUUUCAUUAUCACUACAAAAUUAAUUAAGACAUAUUCGGCCAUUAUAACACUCAAACUAUAGCAUAUUUAUGUUUUCUUAACACAUACUUAUCAAUAUAAAUACGAACCCCCAAAACUAAAUCUUAUAAUCACUUACAUUUUCAAAUCAAACAUAAUUUAAAUACACCACAUGUAUAUACAAUAUUUCUAAAUACCUAAUUAUCACAUAACAUAAUCUUAAUUCAACUAACAUCCAAUAUUAAUCUUAUUGCCGAAACACAUAACUAAAUAUCACCUUUUUAUUCAACUCAUAUCACAAGACUUUAAUAUCUAACAUAAACCAAAUUUAUCACAUACAUGUAACUUGAAUAUCUCAUUCAAAUGCAAGCUCAAAUCAUGAUCAAAUGUAGUCAAAUUCAAGCAUAAAAAUUAAAGACAUCAAGCACCCAUUCAAAAACACAUAAAACCCAAUUUAAACAAAAUGAUCAUGAAUAAGCCAUUUUUAAACCAAACCGAACACAAGCAUGGAAAUUAAACCAUUUUCGCAUGGCUAUUUAUAUAUUAAUGAUCCAAAACUAACCAAAAACAUAAUCAAGCUUAGAGGUGCUCAUGGGUCGGGCCGGGUUCGGGCUGGGCCCAAAAAAUUUUCGGCCCGGGCCCGGCCCGAAAUAUGGGCCUAGAAUUUUGCCCAGGCCCGACCCGAAAAAAUUCAUAAGCCCGGGCCUGGCCCGGCCCGGCCCGUUUUUUUAAAUAAAUACCAAAAAUUUAUUUUAAAAAUUAAAAAAGUAUUUUAAAAAUAUUUUAAAAUUAAAAAAAUUUAAAAAAGUAUUUAAAAAAAUUUAAAUUUUAAAAAAUUUAAAAAAAGUAUUUUAAAAGCAUUUUAAAAUUAAAAAAAUAAAAAAAAUAUUUAUUAUAUUCUGGCCGGGCCAAAAAAGUGGUGCCCGAGGCCCGGCCCGUUUUUUAAUCGGACCUCAUUUUUUUGCCCAAGCCCAUAUUUCGGGCCUAUAUUUUUACCCAAACCCUCCCAUAUUUCGGGCGGGCCGUCGGGCCGGGCCGCCCGGCCCAUGAGCACCUCUAAUCAAGCCUAUACAUGCCAUAAGAUAAAGUUCAAACUUUAACAAAAUACCAAAAGAAGUCGAUAGUGUGAUAGACUAUGCUGAUUAGAGGUGCUCAUGGGCCAGGCCGGGCCGGGUUCGGGCCGGGCCCAUAAAAAUUUUGGCCCGGCCCGAAAUAUGGGCCUGAAAUUUUGCCCAGGCCCGGCCCGGGAAAAAAAUCAUAAGCCUAAAAAAUAUUUUAAAAUUAAAAAAUUUUAAAAAUAUUUUAAAAUUAAAAAUAAUAAAAAAUAUAUUUUAAAAAUAUUUUAAAAUUAAAAAAAUAAAUAUAUUUAUUAUAUCGGGCCAAAAAAGUGGUGCCCGAGGCCCGGCCCGUUUAGAAAAUAGGCCUCGUUUUUUUGCCCAAGCCCAUAUUUCGGGCCUAUAUUUUUACCCAAACCCUCCCAUAUUUUGAGCGGGCUGCCCGGCCCGGCCGCCCGGCCCAUGAGCACCUCUAAUGCUGAUGAUCCCCGAGCUCGUAACGUGACUCCAAAAUCUAUAAAACAAAGGUAAACAAAAACACACAAAGUAAGCUAUAAAAGCUUAGUAAGUCAUAAGCAAAAAUUCAUAUAUAUAUACUAAUACUUAUUCCAUCAUUAAGUUAAAAUAAACCAAAUAUUCUAAUAUUUUGUACCAUAUAACACUUUAAUAAAAAUCACAUUGUAUUUUCAUAUAAACAAACCAUAUGGCCAGAUACACAUAAAUAUUUAACAAAGCCAAAUUUUCAACAAAUCAUUAUGCCAAAACAUGCUUAUAUUCAAAUGGUUAACUCAUACUCUAUAUUUCAUUUGAAACUAUUAUCAAUUUAAAAUAAUCAACUUACCUUAACACUAAUUAAGCAAAUGGCUAACACAUACCUAAAUAAUUUAGCUUUCUUAACACAUUUAUUUGCUUUUACUAUUGCUCACAUAAGAUUUAUAGAACAUAGAACCUUGUAUAAAACACCGACAUAUAGUCUNNNNNNNNNNNNNNNNNNNNNNNNNNNNNNNNNNNNNNNNNNNNNNNNNNNNNNNNNNNNNNNNNNNNNNNNNNNNNNNNNNNNNNNNNNNNNNNNNNNNUUCUAGGCAUAAAGCCUGAUGUAAUUCACCGACAUCAAGCCUGCUAGGCAUUAAGCCUGAAAAUCUCAAAUACAAGGAUGAUCUUAUGUAUAAUUCUUUAUGUUUACAUAAGUUUUACUCACUAACCGUAUCUUCGUAAGAAUUGAAUUAUAUUCAAUUAUUCAUAGCAAACAAACAUUCGAACCACAUAUGUAUAAUUUACAACAUUAAAAUUCAGCUCAAAGAAUUUGUAACCUAUAUUCGAACCACAUAUGUAUGUAAAAUUCAUACAUUAAAUUCAGCUCAAGAACUUUAAAUAUAUAUAUUCGAACCAUAUGUGCAUAUAUAUAUAUAUAANNNNNNNNNNNNNNNNNNNNNNNNNNNNNNNNNNNNNNNNNNNNNNNNNNNNNNNNNNNNNNNNNNNNNNNNNNNNNNNNNNNNNNNNNNNNNNNNNNNNNNNNNNNNNNNNNNNNNNNNNNNNNNNNNNNNNNNNNNNNNNNNNNNUGAACUUAAAGCAUACUUUAGCUAAUAUACAUGUAAUCUAUACCAUUAAUAUCAACCUCCAAAAUCAAUUUCUAUGUUCGGCUAUCACAUAGAAAAAUCACUAAGUUUUAUUCAAUUUAUAUACUUUUAGUUCCAGCUUACUAAAUGUAUGAUAGAUAUAUUUAUAUAAAUUUCAAAUUUAUAACAUUUAAAUUGCUAUUAGACUUACCUCGGAUAGUGAAAAAUUGAAAUCGGAUAAUUAGUCGACGAUUUUGGUUUUUUCCUGAUCUAGCUCCGAUUUCUUUGGUUUUUGAUCUAAACAUAUUCAAAAUGAGCUAGUUUAAAUAUUAUUAACUUCAAUUUAAUCCAAAAACACAUAAAUGGAAAAUUACAAAUUUGCCUCUAACAUUUUACAUUUUUCACAAUUUAGUCCGAAUUACACAAAACACAAAAUAUUCAAAUUUUGACUAUACUAUGGUUAGGCUGAAACUUCAUUAUACUCAUACAAGUCCAUGCAUUUUAUUUAUUUCGUAUUUUAGUCCCUCAAAAAUUUAUUUUCACAAUUUAGCCCUAAAUACUCAAAUUCAUCAAAAAUCCCAAGACAAAACAUGUAAAUCUAACACAUAUAUUUCAAUUUCAUCAACUAACAUCAUAAAACUCAAACAUCCAUCAAUGGCACAUUUCAAAAUCAUCAUCAAUUCACAAAAUUGAAGCAUGGGUUUUGAAGAACACAAAACAACGAUAUCAAAAACGUAAAAAUUAUCAAAAACCGAACAAAGAACUAACCUUAAUCAAAAUUCAAAAUGGCCGAACCCUUAGCUUGUUCUUUCCUUUUUCUUUUCUUUUACAUUCGGUNNNNNNNNNNNNNNNNNNNNNNNNNNNNNNNNNNNNNNNNNNNNNNNNNNNNNNNNNNNNNNNNNNNNNNNNNNNNNNNNNNNNNNNNNNNNNNNNNNNNAAAAAAAUGAUAAUGGCUUUUUAACUUAUGUUUGUUUUUAUUAUAAUAACUUUAUAAUAUAUUAUUUAUUAUUAUAACCUUUAUAAUUAUUAUAAAAACUAUAUAAUAUAUACAUAGUGCCGUCCAUUCAUUAAUUCAAUGGUAAAAUUGCAAAAUGAAACCUUCAUAUUAGAAGAACAACGACUAUUUGGCCCUUCUAAAAAUAACCACUAAAUUUUUAUUUUACGCGAUUAAGCCCUAUUCUCAAAUUAAGCAUUCAAACAAUAAAAUUAAUUUACGAAACUUUCACACAUAUAAAUUCACACAUAAUAAACACAGAAAAAAAUAUUAAAAUAUUUUUCAGACUCUAAUGUGUGGUCCCGAAACCACUGUUCCGAUUUGGGUCAAAAUCGGGCUGUUACACCCGACCUCAGAGAAAUUUUAGUGAUGUACCUUUCUUGUGAUAAUGGGGCAUGUACCUAAGUGAUGUAUAGGUUAAGUAUAAAAGUAUUGUGAUUAUGGUUUUACAACUAUGUUAAAAUUUGUUACAAGUAUGGAAUGGAACUAAUAUGACAUAUUUGAUACAAAUAUGCUAUGCCUGCUAUUUAUUUGUGAACUAGUUAUAGGUUAUCUGAUAUAUUCGGUAAUACUCCGUAACCCUGUUCCGACGACGGUUUAGGGUUAGGGGGUGUUACACUUCUGGUGCAAUAUAAUAUGGGCUACCAAUAAUGUCCUUGAAAUACAUCAGCUAUUCCAAAGGCACGGAGUUAAAAAAAUAAAAAUAAAAAUAAAAAUCAACCCGACCACGAAAAUUUUAAUGAACGGAGAUUAUUAUAUUUGCACCUGGCUUAUAAAAGAGUGACACACCCAAAUUCGUAGCCUUGAAUGGUGAAUUUUCGUCUUUGUAAUAGAAUGGCAAGUAUGGAUGAUUUGGACCAUGGUUCUAAGCAAAGAAGCGGCCGCACGUUGUUAUCAUUUUUAAAAAUGAUUUUUUUGAAAAAAUUUUAAUUUUUGAAAAUGUUAAAAUUAGAAUUAAAUUGAUAAAUUUUGUAAAUGAUGAGAGUUAAAUUUAUUAAUUUUUUAGAAUUCAAACUAAAUUGACUAAUUUUGUAAACAUUAAGAGCUAAAUUUAUUGAAAUUUUUAUAUUUAGGAUCAAACUGAUAGAAUGUGUAACUAUCAGAGGAUUAAAUUUGUUAUUAGACUAAUAAAAAAAACCCAUGCCAGCUUCCCGUACUCAUCUUAGGGCAACUAAAAGUAGAGUGAUUAAAAUAUUGAUUUUGAAAAAUUUAAUGACUAAAUUGAAAAUCUAAUGAAAGGUAUAGUUGGGUGACAUUUUUGUAGUUUACCCAAAUAAUAAUAUAUUUUAUACCAACAUCAAUGCAAAUUAAAAUCGGGUAAUUUGGACUUGUGAAACAAAUGGGCCGAUCCAAUGUGGACUCUCAAGGCUUUAUUAAAAAUCACUUCAACCCAUUACAUUUGAGGCCCAAUGCACCCUAAAUUCAAUAUAAUUCACCAAUAAUGUCUUGGCAUUUAAAAAUAUCAUGGAGGCCCUUGUACUAAGUGUUAAAUUGUAUUUUGCCCCCUCUACUUAAAAAAUAGACAAAUUAGUCCCUGUACAUUAGAUCAAGGAGCAAAUUGGUCAUUUCUGUUAAAAAUUUCAUCCAUUUCUACUAUUAACAAUUGACAUGACUGACAGAAUAACCAAAUAGUGAUACGUGUCAUGCCACAUGUAUUUUAUGCCAACGAAUAGGGAACAAUUUUUAACAAUAGAAAUAGAUGAAAUUUUUAAUAGAAUGACCAAUUUACUCUUUGAUCCAAUAUACAGGGACUAGUUUGCUCAUUUUUUUAGUAGAGGGGGUAAAAUAAAAUCCAACUCCUAGUAUAAGAGCCUCCAUGGUACUUUUAACCGUGAAAAAACAAAUUACAUAAUUUAUGUUACUAAAUGAUUUUAAUAUAAAAGUUAUCGUACCAUUGUCGAGAGGUAUUAUGGGCUGAGUCAAAUCUAUGUAUGGUAUUAGCACAAUUUAUUUUCAUUAAAUUCGGCUCAGCUCAAAAUAUAAGUCACAAAAUUUUCUCAUUCCUACCGAUAUCGGUAAAUAACUAACUGAAAAGCUUGUUUUAAGCUCAUUAUAUUAUAUUUUCAAUUUUUACAAAAAAAUAUUAUUUUUAAUUCAAUAUUUAACAAUUUAGCAUUUUUAUUAAAAUUUUAAACUAGAUAAUUUGCAUGUUGUUUAUUUUUUACAUUAUAAUAUUAUAUAUUAUUAUAUAUUUAUUUUUUUUCAAAUUCAAGUUUAAUAUUACAUCAUUUUCUUAGUUAUAUGGCUAUCAAGUAAAUUUUUUUAAUUCAAAAUGUUACACCAACAAAGUUAAUAAAAAAAACUUUAAACAAGGUUAACAAUUGAAUCUUAAUUUUGAAAUCUGUAAAAUUAAGGGACUAAAUUCCUAAAAAUAUAAGUAUAAGAAAUAAAUUCUAAAUUUACAAAAAUACAAAAACUUAACAUAUUUUAACCAUUUUAUAUUAAUGUAAUUGGUUGGUCCUCAAUAGAGGUGCUCAUGGGCCGGGCCGGGCCUAUAUGGGCCUAAAAUUUGCCCAGGCCCGGACCGGGAAAAAAUCAUAAGCCCGGGCCCGGCCCAUUUUUUAAUAAAUACCAAAAAUUUAUUUUAAAAAUUUAAAAAAGUAUUUUAAAAAUAUUUUAAAAUUAAAAAAAUUUUAAAAAGUAUUUUAAAAAUAUUUUAAAAUUAAAAAAUUUUUAAAAAAUAUAUAUUUAUUAUAUCGGGCCGGGCCGGGCCGGAGCCAAAAAGUGAUGCCCGAAGCCCGGCCCGUUUUCUAAACGGGCUUCAUUUUUUGUCCAAGCCCAUAUUUCGGGCCUAUAUUUUUACCCAAACCCUCCCAUAUUUCGGGCGAGCCAUCGGGCCGGGCCGAGCCGCCCGGCCCAUGAGCACCUCUAGUCCUCAGUCCUCACCUCUAUGCUAUACAAGUCUUUAAAUAAGUUAGUCAAUUAACUUCAGUUCAGUAAUUACAAAAAAGAAAAAAAAAACAAAUGAAAAAUAAUUAUAGAAUUUUAUAUAUAAAAAAAAAAAGUGAACUGCUUUUUGUACAUUAUUAAUAAUAAUAAUAAUAAUAAUAAUUCUGUUAAAAUAUAAUUUUCAAACUCUUUUUGCACUUAGUGCAACCUAUUUUUAUGUAAUAUAAUUCAUAUUUGAUUCCUUUUUACAUGUAUAAUAUAUACUAUAUAUAUAGAUAUAGAUGAUUCUUUCUUUUAAUAAUUUUUUUUCUCUUCACGUAAGAACCCUACAACCCAAUUUCAGUAAGAACAAAAAACAAUAAAAUCCUAGCAAAUCCUAACACUUCAAUGGCCUCAAGACGUUCAAAGGUUAUUCGUUCAUCGAGCCAAGGCGAAAUAGGUCUGUUUAAUCAGAUAAUGCCAAUAGACUCUCCAACUCCAAUAUCGAAUCGGCUGACACCGGCCCAUUCAGCUGUAAGAAGAGCACCGAACACGGUUCCGAUGCAGCAGCCAAGAACGGCGGUUCCGAAAAAACAGCAGCUGCCAAAGAAGACAAUAUUUAUGUUGGGGUCACCCGAAAGAAUAAGAGAGAUGAAAAAGGACGAAGGGUUCGGGAUCUUUUUUCAGAAUUGUUCCUUGUGCAAGAAGAAACUCAAACCGGAUAAAGACAUUUAUAUAUAUGGGUACGUUAGACACGAUUUUUUACCAUGAGUGUUGGAUAUUCGGGUUUAUUAGUUUAUAUUUACAGUAUAAAGUGAAUCAUUGUUUGAUGAUUGCAGUUACCUAGGCGCAUUCUGCUCCGUUGAUUGCCGAGAUGAUCGAAUAGCUUUGGACGGUAUCGACAAUGAAGUUGUUCCCAAAUUACCAAUAAACAUGAGACCCUCAAAGAGAUUUUGAACCACAAAUUUGACAUUUUCCUGAUAUGUAUCGGAUACAAAUAUUCAGUUUUUUUAAAAGCUAUCAUCGUAUCGAAAUUCUAAUUCGUGCCGAAUAGAUUUGAAAUAAAAAAAAGGGUGUCCUUAGAGAGGAUUAAGCAACAAGCAUUGUCUGCUACAGCUGAAUAUUACAGAGGGAAUGUAAGAGCUAUUCAUUGGUAUGGUCUCCAUUGCAAGAGACAAAGGAACAUGCUUUUGCCAGCCAAUGCCCACUAACAAAAAAGGGUUACUUUCAGAUUAUAUAACCAAAAGAAUCUUACCAUAUAACUUGGUCUGACCCCAUUGUUGAUAAUUAUUUAUUAAACUUCCUUUUAAAACCUUGGAUUAAUAUAUAUAGAGAAAGAAUAAUAGGUUCAGAAGGAAAAAAAGAAGCCUUAAAAUCAUGAGUUUGCCAAUGUAAUUUGUCAGGUAUAUGAACUGUCAUGUUCUUUCUUUCUUUUUUUUGUUUCUUUCAUUAUAUCAGUUGCAGGUUCUGAUACUUUUACACCGAAAAGUUCAUCACAGUCUAAUUAGAAGACAUGUUGGUUUUAGGUAUUUGAUUCUUUUAUACAAGAAAACAGUUGGUACUGUUAGAUUGUUUCAGUUCAACAUUCUGAAGAAUCUGAACAAACAAUUAUUAUAGAAUAUUGCAGGUUGUAACACCUUUUUUUAAGGACAAGAAAAUAACAAUGAGGGCUCCGUUUUAGGGCUUUUUUAUUGUGGUAUUUACUGUUUUUAAUACAAGUAAUUAACAAGGAGGGAAAGAUGGUGAGAAAGAGUGUAGGACAUGGAGAAGGAGAAGGUUGUUGUGUAGGGCUUUCAGGGAAAAAGGAGCCAACCUUUUAGUCUCUCGUGCAUUUAGGCUUAUAUAGGAGGUCAUCUUUUAUCAUUUAUGAUUAGUGUCACAUAAUCGAUAAUAUGGUGUCCGGUAAAGUUGUGCAUGUUAAUUAGAUGAUAAUGCAAUUACAAUUCAAUUGUCAUCAUAAAGUGUAUUGAGUGAUUUUGCUUUUAUAUAUUCGUUUUUGGGGGUUUUACAAGGUUAUUAUGGCUUCAUGGUCUUCAUGGGAUGCAUAACAAGCUGCCUUUUGGAUAAGAUAAUCAAGAGUUCAUCCGUGGAUUGUCUUACAUAAAAGGUUACUACGGACAAUUCCUUAUGAAGAGUUGCGCACAAAUAACAAAAAAUUGUCUGAAGAUAACCCAUGUCUUGUCACGUGUCAUGUUGAAAUGAGUAUAUAAAUGUGACAAAACAAAAAACCACACUAUCCUAAAAUCAGUCCCGUUGUUAGCUUGGCCAAAAAGUAAUAGAAUUAAUGCCAUUUUAAUGAACAAACAGUGGCCAGAAUCUGGUGAAUUUGCUUGGAAUUAAUAAUUAGCCGACCAGAAGGCAACUCCUUCAGUUUUAAAGUGACUAUUCACUGAUAAGGUUUCUCCCUUUGAUAGCUUUCAAGUGAACAUAUAUACCUUUCUUUUUCUGCAAUUCUUUUUCUUGGUCCCUUCUUUGACCGUAUUUGGAAUGGAAUGCACAUGCAUUUUACAUACACCAUUUGCCCCCCUACCCCCUUUUUUCAUCUUAAAUACUCAUUAUACUCGGAUUUCGGUAUUAACCCGAAUAUGAACAUAAGUCCAACAUCGAUAUAUUAAACUUUUUUUCAAAUUUUUUUGGUUGCUUAUUUGUGAGAUUUAAGACCUGCAAUAAUGGUGUACUAAAAAUGACCUAUAAUAUAAAAGUGAUUGGAAUAUUCCCCACUUUUUCUUUUUGGUAGAAAAGCCCCCACUCUUGUUUUUUACUUUCUCUACAUUCCAGACAGGUAAGAACAAACUAAUAAUAUGGUCAAUCAACAUAUAUAUACAUAUAUACUCAUGGCUUCCAUAUAAACCUGCCAAGCCUGCAAAUCUGUCUGCUGCUUUUUUCUGGUUUCAUACACCACAGCAAUAUGCCAAAAAAGUAAAAGUAUAAAAAGAAUGAUGGUGCUAUCAGAUUAUCAAUGAAACCAACUUUUCUCAGUAAAAUCAUUAGCAAAAGCAGCAUGGAGAAGAAACAAAGCAUAUUCUGAUUCUAUUUUUUUCACUUUUGUUUUUUCUCUUUACAUUUAAUUCUUCUAUCACUUUGGUAAGUAUCCAUAAAACCCUUUACUUCUCUUUGCAUUUAAAACAAAAAGUUAACAAACAUAUAAUGAUUAUAUAUUUGACCAUACUUUCAUCUUUUCUUUAGUUCAUCAAAAGAAUAUUUCCCCUAAAACUAAACAAAUCAUGAAUAAAACAAUCUUCAAGUACCCUCUCUCAACUUCUUUUCCUGCAAAACCAAAAAAAGGGUUACAUCAUUAUCGUAUAAGGAAGCUAAUUUUUGGCUUUCUAAGUACGAAGAAGUAGUCAGCAGUACCUGUGGAGAACUAUCGGAGCUUGUUUCGAGAUGGAUUAGAAGUGGACUUUUUUGUUAAUCAGUUGCAUUGAGAUUGGAAUGUUGUAAGCUGACAUCAUGUUAUGAUUGAGUUGGAAUUCAAGUUAGUUAAGUUUACACCUGAUCAACAAACAUGAAAACAAGAUUAGUCGAAGAAAUUAAGAAAUAGUAAACCAAAAAGGGAAAGAAGAAAGAAGAGAGAACCAACCUUUUUUUGGUUAGUGAGCAAAGGAAUGUCUCUAUCACCCUCAAAAAUGGAUCUCCUCAAAGUGAAUUUUACCUGCACAUGGGACCAACGUUAUCAAACACUUCAAAGCUGGUUUUUCAUGUAGAUUGUCGUUAUCUAUUGUCAAGUGGCCAUGAUUCAGUUUCUAGGAAGAUAUGUUGAAGGCAAUCUUUUCCAUGUUUAAAAGCUAUGGGAGUAAAGGAUUAAAGUCCAAGGACCACAAUCACAAAGGAGUCUUGAGUAUGGAUACUUGUUUUAUUUCAGACAAAUCUGAUGCACUAGAUGGAAAAAGGAAAAGCACUAGAUUUACCUGAUUGAUUCAGAAGACAAAUUAUUGCUGAUGGGUAGAAGCACAUUGAAAUUCUUGCCAAUUGAUAUUUAAGCUCCUGGUUUAAACAAUAGGAAUCACUUAAGUAAUGGUUAAAAAAAACAAAUAUUUGCAAAUAUAAAUAGGCAUUCACGUGUGUGUGUGUGUAUAGAGAGAGAGGAUACAUUGAAUGCAGGUCGUAACCUCCUUUAGAAAAAAUUUAGCUCGGUGUAUCCAUGCGCAUACGGCAAAAGCUCCUCUACCUCAAUCCUCCUCGAACUAGAAUAACUCAUGCUCUUCUUAAGUUGACCACGGCUUGACUCAACCUCAGCCCAAAAUAUACCAUAAACCGGUCUGUGAUCUGAGAACUUAGAUUCCCCACGGACAUAAGAUAAUUGAUGAAUACCUUCUCCGUACCACAGUAUCCGGUCACACCUUCAUACAAAAAAAGUUCAAGUCAGUACACUUCUUCAGAGCUAUAGUUUUAACUACUUUAUCGUGCCAUACGGCGGAGGCAGUUUCUUACCAAGCUGGAGUUCGACAUUUCUCCUUUGGGUGCAUAGCAUCCCCUGUAUACCUAUCUGAAUUAGUUGAAUACUUGUAUGUUGGUGGGAAGUAAAUCUUUCCUUCAUGCCAUCCCUUAAAAACGCGCCCUCUUUUUUGCUCUAUCCUUAGCUGCCAAAUUAUCAUCAAUGAAAGGUUUUCUUAUUAAAUUUGACAGUAGAAUUUGUUGUACGUUAUUCAGGGCCUGUGAAGAUAUGGAGAAGUAAAAGCAUACCUGGUCAUUUUCUAACAAUGCUCUCCAGUUCUGCAUUUCAACAAGUGCCUUGGCAGACCGGUAAGAGAGAGCAAUACGAUAAUUCAAAUCCCCGAGCCAAAUUAUUCGACUGGAUUAAUAUAUAAUUAGUCAGUAUAUGCAAAAAAAAUAAAAAAUAAAAAAGCAUAUGAGAACAUAAACAUUGGUAUUUUUAGCAUAUGAACCAAGUCCUUACUCAUGCUCGAGGAUUGUUUCAGGGGACUUCUCAUUAGCUUCACUAUGAACCCGUGGAAACCUCGUCUUCUUAAGAAUCUCCAUAACAUCCGAGUUUCUCCUUAGCUCAUCACCCUCCUUUUGUCCCGAAGUUAAAUGAGUGCAAAUGAAGCAAAAGCUUGUUUGAUGUACCAACAUACUGACAGAUAUAGAACCCUGGCAAACCAAGACAUAUAGGUUAAACAGAAGUGCUUCUUAUUCUCAAGCAUAAGAUAAGUAAAUUAGAUACGGUCAAGUAAUACCUUAUUUCCAAGAUAACCCAUCAAUCCUCUGCCAACACAAGAUACUUUCAUGUUUUUAACAUGAUCUCUCAACUCGCUUCUCACCCAAAUUGUGAUAAAUAUACCAACCAUUUGCUUACUAGCCACUAAGCAGUACCUUGAAUGUCCAGGCAUCCUAUAUCCCGGUUCAUUCGAUGCAGAUCCACCAUAGGACAUUGGCGAGUGCAAUACAGUACUUGGUGAUUCUGUGAUUCCAUUAUCAUCAUCUGAUGAACCCCAUCUGGAGUAAUCACUAGGUCUAGAGUAAUCGCUAGGCCGGGAGUAAUCACUGGGCCUAUUACCCCAUCUAUAACUAGAAUCAUAGUCACUUGGCCUAUGACCAAAUAUUACCCUAUCACAAACACUGAACCGCCUGUCAAGUCGUGGUUGUGGAAUCGAGGGAUCAUUGUCCAUUCUCCAACUGCUGGUUGUCUGGAACGAUCUGCGGUGAAAGAAAGACGGAUUCUUCUGCCUAGAUGACCCUUCAAAAUCAGCAUCCAUCUCCACAAUAGGCUGAGGAACAGGAGAUGGUGUAUAGCAACCCCCACCUCCACUUGUUCCGGGAAGAUUGUUAAGAGUCUUCCUAAUGAGAGACAACCAUUUUUUGGCCGGACCAUUGUCUUCUGCGCCCAAAAUAUUCCCAGCAUUCAAAGGAACUAUCUCUUGAAACCUGUAAGAAAUCAAAGAGGAAACAAAUUAUUCUAUGAACAAUUCAAAGUUUGGUAAACAAGACAUGAAGAUCAAAACCGUCAAAACAUACCCAAGGACAUAUAUAUCUGCAGGAGAUGAUGCAUGAAGCAAAUCUUCUAGAUUCAAAUUACUCGGUGGCGAUCUUCCGGCCACAUUCCAUGUAGAUGCAAAAAUGCUGCUCCAAAGGACAAUAGAAGAACAGUUGGUACUCAUGCAUCACAAAAAAAACAUAUAAUUUUUUUAGGAAAAACAUACCUAUAAUUUUCGACAUCUAUGAUUCGAGGGUGAUCAAGAUUCAUUCUCCCUCUCCGGCUCCGACUUUGCUCCGUAUUCCUACUAAAUUUUUCUACAAAUCAUAGCAGCAUUUAGACAAUUAAUAGAAAAACAACAAAAUAGUCCCCAAAAAAAUUAGUGAAAUAAGAUUAGGAACCUGUUUUACUCUUUUUGAUUGUGCAUGGCUCCCUUUCUGAGAAGCUAGUCCUGUAUUCCACUUCACCUCCUGAAGAUUUAAAAACAAAAAAAACAAAGUUAUAUAUACAUGUUAUGAACCAGAACAGGAACUGUACCAACCAAAAAGAAUAAAAAUUGAAGUUACAAUGGAAUCAUUUUUAGGAUGCCUUGUCUGUUUUGAUGGGAAAUUGCAUGAAAAAGAGUACUUAAAAAUAGAAUCCAGGAAAAGAUAAAGCCUUGAAAUAACCAAGUAAUCCAUUCUAAAUAAGUUAGCUUGGUCUGAACAGAUAAGAGGAAGAAUAUUCCCUUUCUUUUUUUGACAUGAAAGCUUGAGAUCCUAGCUAUUUUUUUUAUGAAUACCAAGCAAUCACUGUGAAAAUUAACGCUCCUCAAAGUACUCACCUCCUCCACAAACAUGAUCAUCUGCUUGAAAAUCCUCAGUUUUGCUCUUGAUAUUGAACCAUUUUCUGACCAUCUUUUUGGACCAUGAGAGCUACACAAAAUGAAGGAAAUUUUAGUCAGUUAAAAACCUUCAAUUUUUUUUGUUCUUUCACAAAUUUGAGAAUUGAAAACCAGAAAGAGAGAAAGAGGAAGAAAGAAAAGAAAAGAAAAACCUUGCUUUUCUUGGCUUUCCCAUCUCUCAUUGUUGGACUUUUGCUUCAUACACCUCCAAAUUUACUCUUUUUUACUAUUCCCGAAACUCUCAACUUUGCUAACAAUCACCAAGAAAAAAAAACACUGUUGCUACUUACUACAACCCCAUAUAGGCAGCAAACUCCACCGAUCCUUCCCCGAUUUCAGGCCUUUUUUAACUUAGAUUAAAAACAAGCUGAAUUAUUUGAUCCCAGAUAAUCUUCAACUAAGAAAACAAAUGUCCCAAGUCCCCUACCUUCACCUUCCUCAAAAUCAAAGGCUAAAGCUAAAGCAAAGAGAGCUAAACAAGAAAUGGGUUUGCCUUAGUUUCUUGUUCCCAGUAAGUGAAAGCAAAGAAACAAGCUCAAAAAACCCAGAAAACAUGAAGCUCCAACGAAUAAUAUAAAAGAAAAAGAGAGAGAUAGAGACAACACUUUAAUGCUAGGAAAUAAUAUGAAGAGAAGGGAGAUUCUUGAAGCUAUAACAAGACAAUGUGGGCAAACAUAAAGAGAAAGCAAGGGGAAGAAAGUCUAGAGAGAGAAAGCUCGUAAGACAAACACAAGCAAAGGCAAAGGCAAAGCAGCCCCUUCUGUCUCUCUCUCUUCCUUCUCUUUACUUUGUUAGAAAAAUAAAGAGAGCAGCAGCACACCUCGUUAUCAGUAAAAAAGCAAAGUAAUGAAAUUUUGAAUGGAAUAAAGUGCAAAAUAAAUAUAGAGAGAAACUCUGUCACACUAUCUCUUGUUUAUGUUUGCUUUUUUUUUUUUAUGGAUUUUUCUUUUAAGAGAUUUAAAAAUUUAUAGAGAGGCUUUUUUAGUUCCAUCUAAUGUUACAGGCUAUUUCAACAUGAAUGAAGCAAAGAGGUAAUGUCGUUUUGUACCAUGUACUGUUAAAACGACAAGGGUUUAUGGUCAGCAAAGUGUUUGAAGGGGGGUUUCAAAUUUAAGCUGUCUUUGAAUCACUUUGGGCUAAUAUACUAUUUCCUAUGUGAGUUUAGGUUUAUUAUUCGAUUUGAUAUCCAGGUCAAAUAAUAUUACUUGAUCUGAUAAAUAUUUAACCAAAAAUACUUAAUUAAAAUUAAAAAUAAAAUUCAAGUAUAAAUUAAAUAUUGAAACUAAGUUUAAGUGCUUAAUUUUGGAAAAAGAAUGAAGUAUCAAAUUAAAGAAUUUUCAAUUACCAUUUUAAAUGUUGAAGCCAGAUAUUAAAGAGAAGGAGAUAGGACUGUUAUGGAGCGAGGCUUUUUUAAAUUACAAAAAUUAUGUGGAAAUCUCAUCAAAUAUCGAGUUGAGAUUAAAAAAUAUUUACAUGAUUGUAUUUAAAUGAUAGAAAUAAAACGGAGACAAGCAUAUAGGUAUUGCAUGUAGAUAUGCAUACACGAUUUCGAUUUUGUAGGAAUAUAGCUUACGAGGACAGGAAGCAAGUAUCACUUUUUGCUCCGAGGGAAGCCCUUAUUCACGCUAAGAAAAGCGGUUGGGUAGUGAGAAUGAUCGGGAAAAACAGGAAGCUUCUAAACCAAACGAUAGACACUAAGGCAGAAAGAGUAAACUGGAGAUAUAGGCCAUUGGUGGAGGACAUCAAGAGGCUGGGAAACGUAUGCUAUGAGGAAGAAGGAUUGGAAAUGACAACGCAGAUCAAUGAGGAAAAUUCAAGAUGCUCAACAUUUGCCUCUAAUUCCCAUACUAAUGUUGUUUUAAAUAAUAACUUUAUUAUGAAUAAUAGCCUAUGAAACAUGUCUUGAUAUCAAAAAAAUUAAACUCUCGAAGUCAUUUAUUGGUCUUUCAUCCAAGUAAAAAAAGCAAUUAAAGAAGGGUCAUCUGUCUUUGUGUCUGUAGAAAACUAGAAAUUUUGAGGUUUUUCAAGAUUCCCCGGAAAAUAUUUUCUCUGGGUUAAUUCCAUUAAAAUCUUCAUAUUAGUCUUUCAACUUCAAAUCACUCUAAUUAAAUCCUUAAAAGAAUCUGUAUAUAUCAACCAGAAUCUUCAACCAAUUUAAUUUUAAUUUAGACAUUAAACAUAAAUACAUGGAUCAAACUGUAAACAUAUUUAUAAUUUAGUUCACGUCUUAAAUAUAUCUCUCCUAAAAAUUGAAUGGACUAAUUAUCAGAAUAGUCCGAUAUGGUACUGAUUGAUAUGAUAAAGACUAAAUUAAAAUCCGGGCCAUAGAAUAUUUGGUUGUUAACCGAUCUAACUAUUUUCAUUAAAUACAGGGUUUAAUGGCCUUGUAAUCGAAGGCAAAUGCCCCAGUCUUUAAGGUGUCACUGUUAUUUAUUCUUCAUCACUCACUCACCUACUACUUUUUUUUUUUUUAUCGAAACACCUACUACUUAAAUAGAAGCUACUUUCAAUAGGACCACAUUUUUGGAUUUAUCUAAUCUGGGCUUUUUUUUUCUAUUAAAUUUCAGCCACUUAUGAGAGCCGAAUGAGGAGCCUCUAGGGAAAAAAGCAAGCUUAAUUCUAAAUUUCUUUAAUGGUAGAGUGGAGGAGAUUUCUAAAGUCUCCGCCGUCUAGGGCGGCUCCUCGGGCCAUAAACAAUCCUUGAUUAUACAAACUCCAAUUUUCUCUUUAUAUUUUUAUAUAAAAAAAUGCAGUCAAACAUGUGCUUCAUUUAAGAUUUUAAAGCUAUGUAUAUAUAUACAUAUAGUUUGCUAUUUUGACUAGUCUUGGCAAAGACUGCAUUUUAGAAUAUGGUUCACGGGCUUUUUUCUUUAUUGAGCCGACUGCUGAAGAACAUUCCAUAUGUUGGGAUUAGGGUUAUAAAUUGUGAAUUCUUUUAUUUUUAUUUGUUUAUUGAAUUUAAAUUUUUAUUACGUUAUUAUUAUAAAUAUAGAGGUGGAAUAUUUUUCUUGUUUUCUAAAGGUAUUUACAAGAAUGAGCUCAGUAACUAAUCUUCGAUUUUGUAAGCUCAUUAAGGAGAUAGAUGUUGAUCACAAGAUUUAAAACUAUUUUAUACCCAGAGCGAAGAUCGAACCUUCGAUUAUUUGUUAAAGUAGGAAAAAUCUUUAUUAUUUCACCUAAUUCCCGUGAUAUAUAGAGAUAAAAUAUUAAACCAAUAACGUGAUGGGUUUAUUAAUAUAGUCAAGUUUGCAAUUAUGAAAAACCAAUAAUGUUUUUGUAUAAUCACAAAACUAAAUUCAAACAUGGUGAUGAAAAUACCAAACAAACUAUUUUUUUGGUCAACCAAAAUGGAUUAAAGUUUUUAGCUCAAAUAGCAAUGAAUCAACAUAGAACGAUAGGAAAUGCUUGCACCCAAUUUUUUUUCAAAGCAUGAAAUGAUGAGUGGACUUCCAUCUGUUCCAACAACGUUUCAUUUAAUCGGUGGCAUAAAAUAAAAUUAUUUGACUCCAUGAAAUGGAUUGGGACGUGAUUUCAGAUUUUAUGAUUAGAUAUUUUAAAAAUAAUUAUAAUUCGAUAUUAAUAUUUUUAAUUCCACAAAUAAAAAUAAGAAGUUGUCACAUAUUUUUCUUAAAUAAUAAUUUUGUGUUCGUUUUAUGAUUUAUGUUGGAUAUUUUUAAUUGUUUAAUUCUAUUUAUAGAAUUAAAAAAACUUUAAAAAUUUAAUAUUAUAUUAAAUUUCUGAAAUGUUCUGUCGUAUUUUAAUGUGGGUCUCGUUGGGAAUCAUUUGAAGCAAUAAGAAGAAAAAGCAAAAACUUGAAUAAUACAAAGCAACAUGUAAAAAGUGAUUGCUUGUAUUAAAGACCAAAUGAAAAAAAAAGAAGAAAGGGGCCAUAUUUGUGGUAUUUGGAUAUCUAAAGAUCAAAAGGAAUGACCCUACUUUGGGAAAUCCCUGUUUUUUGCAUUCACAACUUGUACUUCAAUUUACAUAAAUUUUUAUAUUAUUUUUGAACCAUUUUAUUAUAGGUUUUAAUUUUAUUUUCUUUUUUUUUUUGACACGAUACUUAGAAUUAUUUAUAGUUUCUCCUCAACAUUUAAAUAUGAGGAUUAUCCGUUUCAGUGCACUUGAACCAACGUCUUCCUGUACUAACAACAACGUCUAUGCCAAUCGAGCUAAGACUCAAUCCACAACGUUUUUAAAUAAAUUAGUUAAAGGUGUAAUACGUGUCUAGGUAGAUUAUAGUAAAAUAAAUUAAAUAGAUAAAUGUUACAUAAUUAGUAGGGGUUUUGGUUUUCCUAAAAUUAAGAAAAUUGCUUAUACAAUUCCUUUAAUUUCUAAAAAAAUCAUAAAUUAGUAAAAUGAUAAAAUCAUAUUUUCACCUUUCAAAAUUUUGUAUUCGUUUUUAAACCCUAGAACAAUUUAUUGGCUUUACCCUUUCCACUAUAUAUAUAUAUAUAUAUAUAUAUAUAUAUAUAUANNNNNNNNNNNNNNNNNNNNNNNNNNNNNNNNNNNNNNNNNNNNNNNNNNNNNNNNNNNNNNNNNNNNNNNNNNNNNNNNNNNNNNNNNNNNNNNNNNNNUGUAAAAUUUAUUCUACUAAUUUCAUACGCAUAUAUGCUUAAUUUCCAUCCCUAGAACUUGCCCUUGAUAAAUUUGUUUUAUGGUGCAGUCCUAGUCUAAAUUCAAUUCAUUUGAUAUUUAAAAAUAUUUAAAUAAAUUAUUGAACAAUUUUUUUUUUGACUUACGGCAUAUUUGCUCAAAUUAGUUUAUUUUAUUAGUAGUAAUAAAAUUUUAUUGGUUUCUCAAAAAAUAAUAUUUUUUUCGUAAGAAUAUACAUAUUAUAUAAUAAUCAAUGUCACCUCACAAUAAAAGAGAAUCUUUCAUCCAUAAAAUCAUGAAUUGCAGAUAACACCUAAACCAUAUAAAAUCAUUUGGACAACAAAAAUCUGUUUAUCAAUAAAAAAUUCUCAGAAUUUCAAUUAUAAAAAUAUCAAAUCUAACAUACGAAUCUAAAACUUCAAAAAAAUAAUUUUAUAAACAUAUAUCCAAAGUAUGACUUUCAUGUAAAUAAGGUAUUUGAGAAGGAAAAAUGAAGAACAUAAAGGGUUAAAAAAACAAUAAAGAAUGGGGAAGAAGAUUUUGUAUGCUUUAUGCUUUUUGUAUUUUGGUGGGUGAAUCUUAAGUUAAAGCCUUAAAGGCUAAAAUUAUUAUGAUUUACGAGGCAGUCAAAAGAGGGUUAGUAGUCGUUUUCUCUUUGAGUUUUUUUUUUUUUAAUUUAAAUUUAUUAUUGGUGCUUUUUUUUUUAAAUCUUUUUCUUUACCAAUGUUUCUAUCUAUUUUUGUUCUUUAAGGUAUGGGUUUACGGCUCAUAAUAUGUCACUUUCUUUGGCAUGUGUCAUGGCUACAUGCAUGAUUAUAAAUAUGAUAUAAAAUAUAGUUGAAUGUAAUGAUAAGAUACAUUACAUCUUUAAGGGGAGGACCUAGAUUCAAAUCUUGAAGAUGAUAUUGUUGAGAGGAGCAGUUAUGAACCCCGAAUAUGAAUCGUAAAAUAGACAUAAAAAAUAAAAAAAAACCAAUAAAUUGAUGAUUAAAGUGUAAUGACUCUAUAUUGCUAAGACUGAGAAUGUAAAUUCGAAUUUUUUUAAUUUUUAAAAACUUUGAAUCAUAAUUAGUCUCAAACUUAAUAUUUUAAAAAGAAUCGAAUGAAAAUGAAUUUGUUAUAACAAACAAUUUAUUUGGCUUAAUGGUAUUGUCUUUGAUGAAAAACAAAAACACUAGAAAAUUAAAAUUCGAAUAUUAAAAUAUUUAUACACAAUAUUCUAUUAAAAUAAUUAAAAGUAUCUACUUCGAUGUCAUUUAUAAUACUUUUGAUUGAGCUAGGAGAAGAAGAGACAUCGAUUUAAUUAUGGAAAAAUAAAAACAACCCUUUUUAAAAAUAAAAUAAUAAAAUGAAUAGGAUUUUUUUUAUGUAUUUUGCUAUUUUUCUCUUAAAAAACAAAUUAAAUAUAAUUACUCGUUAUCUCCUUUUCUCAAUAAUUAUCACAUUAAAUUCUUUGUAUUGUCCUAAAAACCUACCCAUUUAUUUUUUGAAUUUUUUAAAUAGUCCAUCAAAUUUUGAUUCGGUUGGAUUCUAUUUUCGGGUUUUAUUAAUUUUUUAUUUUGCAUUUUAGUCUCAUGUUGAUAAGAUGAAUCUUAUUUUAGGGAUUUUGAAUGUUAUUAAAUAAAAUUUUAAAGUUUUAUUUUCAUAAAUAUUUCUAAUAACUUUCAAGAUUUUUUAAGUUAUUUUAAAUAAUUAAAUUAAUUAUAAAUUAAAUAAAAGUAUAAUUCAAUUCAGUUUCUAAUAAUCGUGAUUUUUUAACUCAUAUUCCAUGUCGAUUUAGCUCUGACGAAUAGAAUGGGUAUCAAUAUAUCUAGUUAAUAAUAAAUGCAUGUUGAGUUUGAUUUUCAUUCAAGUAAAAUCAUUUUCUUUAUUUACCCACUCUCUUUAUUAUUUUUAAUUUUCCUUAUUUAAUUAAAAUUUUAUGAAUUUGGGUAGAUUAUGCAUCCAUGAGACCAGAGCUAGCUCUGGAAUCUUGAAAUGAAUUGAUUAAAGUGAUGAAUAUUUUGAUAUGGAUUGACUUUAAUAUACAAUGAGAGUAUAUGUAUAUAUGGAUGACGCAACUAGAAAAAUGGGUCAGGAGAAACACACACCACUUGCUCAUCAAACAGUCUUUUUCAACCUCAUGUCCCUCUCUACCCAACUCUACUUCCCAUUUAUUUUUUUCCUUUAAUCAGAUUUCCAUGGAUUCUACUGUCUUACAUAUUUUGACUAUAAACUAUAAUUCCUUUUAUAUUAUUAUAAGCAUAUAUUUCCUUGACUUUUUUUUCCUAUAGAAUAUUCUUUAACCUUAAUCCUACGUGAAGUUAAUCAUUUAUUCCAUGACUUUUUCAUUUCGUCGGGGAUUGGACAAAUAUUAGACUCUCCCAAAGGGGACAUGUAGUUAUUUUUUACAAAAAAUAAAUUCCGACAAUAAAUGAUCAAACAAUCCAAUUUAAUUAUUAUUUUAAGAAAAUUGUUUCACGUUUUAUAUUAUUUUUAUUUCUUAUACAAAUCCUACUUUUAUUUAUUAGUAUUAUUUUUUUUCCAACUAUUGAAUCGAAAGCAUGUUAGAAUUCCCAUUUUCCUUAUUAUGACAACACCACCAAUUGAACUAAAAGCUCGAUUAUGUUAUAUUACUUUUACUUAAAUUAAAGAAAAAGUAAUCAAUUAAUUCUUUCUUUGAUUAUAAGCUUAGUAUAUUAUCCACUUUCAGUAUGUUUUAUUUUAAAUAAUAUAUAAAAUAUGCAUGCAAAAUUAUUAUUUAGUAUAUUGAUGUUAAGGUAUUUUUAAUUUUUUUUGGAGAAGUCAAUAAUUCUCUUAACAUAUUCAGUACUGUUUUUAUGAGAUUUUGUUUUUCGACUCAAAGUGAUAAAUUUAAUAUACCGAAAACAUUUGGUCAAGUCGGACUGUAAAGGACACGUAAGAAAAUGUUAACAUCUGCUUCCACUUUGAAUGGAUGAUACUUCAAACGCCAUUAAAUUGUUUAUAAACUUCACAAAUAGUAUUAAAAUCCGUCAUAUGUCACAGUUAUCGGACCUUCAUCACCAAUGUACCAAAAUAUACAUCACCUAAACAAUGGCCUAGAAGGCCCAUAACUUAAUCUGUGAAAACCCUAAAUUAGUCCAAGUAAUUUAGUCCACAAGUUACAGUCAAAGAUACUAUAAGCCCACAAUACUUUUUGAGGCUAACUUAUAUAACUCUUGUACAUAUUCUUAAACAGAUCCAUAACCGAUGUGGAAUUUCAAUGCAUUGGGCUUAAUCCAUCUGAAAGUUCAUUUUUCCCUCAAAGCCGAACACAACCAGCGAGGCCUCCGGCUCUAGAGUCGGCGGAAACCGCGAACUCAGGAGGAGAGAAACCAGCGAUCCUUCUCUUCUACCGCAUAUUUCCCUGGUCUUCGUAUCUGUCUUAUGAUGUCUAUUUUCUUCGUCUUCUCAUUUCCUUUUGCAACUACAAACAACAAUUCUUAAUAUUCAAAAAUAAAAAAAAUGGCGUCUUUACUUCUUCGUCAACGAAGAGUUUCAGCUUUGGGUGUUUCCCGGAUUCUUCAAGGUUUGACUUUCAACCUUAUUUGUUUGAAAAGAGAAAAGGGAAAAAUUUUCCCACUUUUUGUUAUAGAUUCAUUAUGAACAUGUGAAAUUUGAUUAGAUAGAUGGAAUUCUUGAUUGCCCAUUUCUUAGUUUUUAUUGCAGGAGAUUAGCAAAAUAAAAAUAAAAAUUUCUGGUUCAGUUUUGAUUUACAUUUUUUAAGUUUAAUGUUUCAGCUGUUAAUGGUGAUUCCUUUCGACUACAACCGGAAUCGAAUUGCAGGACAUUUGCUAGAUUUGGUGUAAUAAUAAGGAAUUACAGCAGUGGAAAGGGUACUGCAAAGUUCGAUUUUACUGAUCUCACGUAAGAACUAUAUGACUUACAGCUAUUAAUAGUGAUUUGUUUGGCUUGGAUAGGCAUAGGCAGCCCUUUUUUUGGUUUCGAAUUAUGUUGGUUAAAAAUCUACAAUUUGAGGCUUGUUCCAAUAGCACCAUUUCAUUCUAGUUAUAGGAAUACAAAAUCUUGAAAGACAAUAGACUCUACAAAUAUAAAUGUCUAGAUUUUUAAAUUUGAUUAAUUAUCUGUGUUUUAGUUUCGAAUACUAAUUUUCUGGAUUAUGUAACUAAAGCAUACCUGUUUCCGUUCUCCGAAUUCAAAACUUAUUGGCUAUAAGUUUUUCUUACUACAAGGUAAUAGUCCUUGUUCAAAAUUUCCAUUAAUUGGGAGAUUAUAAAAAAAGAAAGGAAGAUGUUUCUGCUCACUGAAUUUUGUUAUGUAAUUUCUGUAUAUCAUUGGCAUUUUUGUGAAAUUAUUUUUUGUUUAUCUCAGCCGUCCUCAUACAUGGUAUCCUAAUGCUCGAAAAAAGCAACGCAAGGUUUUCUUGCAUGUAGGUCCGACAAAUAGUGGUAAAACAUACCAUGCUCUGAAGCGACUUGAAUCAAGUUCUUCUGGUAUAUUUACAAUGCUACUUUUACCAGGACUGGCUUACUUUUUUUUUUGGUAGUCAGUGAAUGAUUGAACGGGAUUGAAACUAGUAAAAUAAACUGAAAAACUAUUUUCCAUUGGUUCAUUCCCUAUUCAGGUGUAUAUUGUGGUCCUUUAAGAUUGCUGGCAUGGGAAGUGGCAAAACGGUUGAACAAAGCGAGAGUUCCCUGUGAUCUAAUUACAGGACAAGAGAAGGAUGAAGUGGAUGGUGCAAAGCAUAAGGCUGUAACUGUUGAGAUGGCUGAUGUAACAUCUGAUUACGAAUGUGCCGUUAUUGAUGAAAUACAGGUAAGUCCAUAUUUAAAUGAAAGAUUCACAUACAAUAUUUACCAAGUUCACAAGGAACAUUGCUGUUAAUUAUUCUCUCAGUGUGCGUGCAGAUUUGUUAAACAUAAAUUGAAUAGAACGACUUAUACGAUUCUUGUGCAACUUAACAGAAACUGUUUUAAGCUUUUUCCCUUAAUGGCAAGUCACUUAGUUUCCAGUUAAAUUUCUCUUUCCAUGCAGAUGUUGGGCUGUAAGACUAGGGGUUUUUCAUUUACACGUGCCCUGUUGGGAAUUGCUGCUGACGAACUUCAUCUUUGUGGAGAUGCAGCUGCUGUUCCUCUUAUUCAAGAAUUAUUGAAAGUGACUGGUGAUGAUGUCCAGGUAAGCAAUAGUAUGGAAUUGCUGUUCUUCUAUAUAAUGCACUGUUGGAUAAGUAGAAAUAUUGUUUUUUUACCGGUAUUUGGUGUCUAGCGUUACUGACUAGCCAGAAGAAUAACUUUCUUGUUGCGGCCAUGCUCGUGACCCACUUUUGAUAUAUCUGUUCUAUAUUGUCGGUAUUUUGCAUCACAUGGUUUUCUAAAAUCCCAGGUCCGAUCUUAUGAGAGGCUUCUACCAUUAGUUCCCUUGGAAGUUCCACUUGGUUCUUUUUCAAACAUAAGAACAGGUGAUUGCAUUGUAAGUUUUUCACGCAAGGAGAUAUACAAAUUGAAGGUCAGUAGUGCUUGCUUUAUUUUCUCUUGGCUAACUACUGAUAUGUUUCAGUACGUUAAAACAUUAGUUUUUCUUCUUACUAUUUUGUGUCAGUGGUGUCUUUCAUAGAAAAGAAAUUGAAUAUGCUUUCUGAUUUCGCCAUCUUUCAUAGAAAAAAAUUGAAACUGGGGGAAAGCAUCUUUGCUCCGUGGUUUAUGGCUCAUUGCCACCAGAGACUCGGACAAGACAGGUAUUGUCUCUUUCUGGCUUUAAUUGAUCACCAAGUAUGUGUGUGUGACUGAUGGUAAUUAUAUUCUCAUUGUUGCUCAUUUAUUUAUUUAUAUUUGUUUAUUAUUAAUACGGCCUUUAGGAUUGCAGGCAACGAUGUUUAAUGAUGCAAGCAGUGAGUUUGAUGUUCUUGUGGCCAGUGAUGCAAUUGGGAUGGGUCUUAAUCUGAACAUUUCUAGGAUAAUUUUUUCAACAAUGAAAAAGUUUGAUGGUCUGGAAAUGCGGGAUCUUACAGUACCAGAGGUCAAGCAAAUUGCAGGUUCCCAUUUCAUUUUUAGCUGUACUUUGAAAUUUUAUUUCUAUAUGAACAAUGAACUUUUUUGGUCAAUUUUCCGUCUUAAGACAUUCGCUAAGGGUGGUAGAAAAAUAUAACAAGAAUCUGCUUGCUCGAGUUGUCAACUGCCAAUUUUCUUAUUCCAUGGGGGCAGACCCUGUAAAGUUGAUAAAUUUUCAUUAGACGGCUUUAUAUUCUUGUAGGGAGAAGUGGUAGGUACGGUUCAAAGUAUCCCAUGGGUGAAGUAACCUGUUUAGAUGCAGAAGAUCUACCUUUGCUUCAUUCAUCGUUGAAAUCCGCCUCUCCUACUUUACAGGUGAUUGUUUUAUCACUAACUUUCCUAAGAAUACCGCCUUGAUCUGACGUUCCAUUUUCAAUGGACCUGAAUAAGCUGCUUUUAUAUUUAUUUGCAUAUUGGUUCAGCAUUUUUUGUAUCUUGACUCUGUCAUUUUUACGACACAGCAAGCUGGAGUAUUUCCAUCCUUUGAUUUCAUUUAUAUGUAUUCACGUUUACAACAGAAAAGAGGUCUCUAUCAGAUAUUGGUAGGUUAUCUUAUGAUAUUAUUCCGUCUAUCUCCUUCCUCUCGUUUUUCCUUUUUUAGUGACAGCUAAAAUGAACCCAUUGAGGGUUAAAAAUAAUUCGAACCCCACUGCCCUGUUUUUGAUUGUUGCAGGAAGAUUUUCUCGAGAAUGCAAAACUAUCCGAUAACUAUUUCUUCGCUAACUGUGAAGAAAUGUUGGUAAGUUUAUUCAGUCAUGUUCCCUUUUACAAAUCAAAAUUUCUUGUCAGAUAACAAUAUCUCUGGUUAUGGAUAUUUAGCUUUUACAAUAUGAAUCAAUGAGUGAUAAAAGGCUGUUUAUUGUCAUCAGAAAGUUGCUGCUGUAAUCGAUGAACUGCCUCUAAGCUUGCAAGAUAAGUACCUUUUCUGCCUCAGGUAACAUCUUUCAAUCUUGCUCCCUCCAACAACCCGAACUUUGUUAUUUGAGUUUGUCUGCUAGUUUUACCAAUGCAGUUUCGAGUUUGCUUAUUAUUAUUAUUAUUAUUUAUGAACUUGCUUGGAAUCAACUGGCUAACACAGGUAAAUCUUUGUGCAGUCCAGUUGACAUGAAUGAUGAAAUUUCAUCUCAGGGUCUAACACAGGUAAAUAUUUGUAUACAGUCUUGAUUAUCUUGAAUAUGGAAACUAACGGCUUUCUAUUCUAUCGUUGUGGAUCAGUUUGCCGAAAAUUAUGCAAAGAAAGGCCUCGUUCGUCUUAAAGAAAUAUUCUCACCUGGUUCACUUCAGGUGCCUAAAACGCAUUCUGCUCUCAAGGAGCUUGAAUCCAUUCACAAGGUAUGAGUUUGUUUUUCUCAUGCGUUGUGUGUAAGCUUCGGUUGAGUUUUUCAUUUGGAUGAAUCGUUUCCAACUUUAUUGUUGUUUGCUCCAUCUGAAGGUGUUGGAACUCUAUGUUUGGUUGAGUUUUCGUUUGGACGAAUCGUUUCCAGACCACGAGUUGGCUUCAUCACAAAAGGCCAUCUGCAGUAUGUGAGUACCCUUUGCCAUACUUAAAUCACUUGCUUUGCUUUCCAUUGUUAACCUUACUAGUAAUGUUUUGGAUUUGUAGGUUAAUUGAGGAAUUCCUUGAAAGGCUUGGUUUCCAAAACCCAACAUCAAGAAAGUUAAAUUCAUUAAUGGCAAAAAAGAGAAGACAAUACCUCUGAUUAAAUGUAAACUACUAUUACCAUGUAUUUAUCCAUUAACCCCAUCACCCCGUUCGUUCCCACCACAUAUACCUUUCUGUUUGUCAAACGGAUUUGUCAAAUUCGGACUCGAGAUCUCAAAGUUUGAAUCUUGAAGUUUUUCCGACGGAAAUUUCCUGUUUAUUUAUUUUUAGUUAAAUUACACUUGUAAUCGUCUAAUUAUUAGUAACUUUUUUAUUGAUCACUUAUUUAUGAAAGUUAUUAAAUGGUUAUCUAAUUAAAUAUUUAAUUUUACAAUUUUAUUUUUCUUUGUGACUGUUCGCUUAAAAAGCUAAUAAACAUAGUUAUCAACAAAAUUUAAUUGAAGACAUAAAAAAUGAGAACACUAAAAAUCUAAAAUAAUAAAUUUUAUUUGUUUUCAUAUUUUUUUUUUAAAUUAACUUUUACACAUUGAAUAAAUAUUGAGGUUAACUUUUCUUUUUGAAAAAAUUAAAAUUAAAAUUAAAAUAUUUAUAGGUAUUGAGAGUUAAAAUUGCAUAAUAACAAUUUUAAAAAUUGUCGCAUUUAAUCAGGUGAUAAUUAAAAAAAAAAAGCAUAUGGUAACUUUCAAAUAAUUAACAAAUAGAAUUUACUAAUAAUUGAAUUAGUAGGAAUAGCUUUUUUAACUCAAUUCAUUUCAUUAACAAAAUGUAAAAUGGAGUUUCAUGGUAAUGAAAUAUUAACACAAAUCAAAGUAUGAUAGUUACAUAACAAGAUCAAAACCUUUUAAUUUUAGAAUUCAUCUAAGUGCUUCAUGCAACCACUCUUACGAUAUGGUACUUUAUUAGGUCGGAAUUUGGACUGUGAGGCGAGAAUCAUGGACCACGAAGCGAGGUUAAACAUAAGCAAGUUGGCGUUUGGUCGUCCGGUAUCAUCCCUCCUCCUUUGCUUGUAUUAACAGCUUCUAGCAUUCUCACAACCUCCUCCAUUGCAGGGCGUUUCUCCGGAUUCGCAUCCCAACAUUUUUUCAUGAUGUUUGCUAAAGAAUUCGGGCAGCAUCUCGGGAUAUCUGGUCGUAGAUUCUGCCGAUAUACCAUGAAAAAUAGGUUUAAUAUCAUUUAACAAUAUACAUGUAAGCACAUAUAGAAUAGCAAACAAGCAAAAUGACUCCACAUUAUUAACAAUGGUUAGAGCAGCCGGAUACCAAGAUUAGGAUACAAGGAUCUUUUAUGCUUUACUGAUGAAAUAGAAUAACAAGCGAACUAACCUGUCGAACAACAGCAGAUGACACAUCGGCAAAGCUAAGGUCCGGAUAAGGCAUAUCGCAGCAAUAAAUUUCCCACAAGCAAAUGCCAAAGCUGUAGACAUCACAUGUUCUGUUGUAGGGUUUACCUUCAAGAACCUACAUCAUUACAGUUUACAGUUUAGCUUUCUUGUUUUAACAUGGAAAACAGGACCAAGUGUCUAGAAAAAAAAUACGUUCCCUCAAAUCCUCAUGCAAGGCCCGCUUGCAUAUCACAGAGAGAGGGAGGAUUAAUUCUUCAUAAGCCAAGUUUGCAAAUAAAUGAUUAAAGCUUUGAACCACUCAUGCUUUAUCAAUACAUUUAAGAAGGCAUACCUCAGGGGCCAUAUAGCCAAGAGUACCGGUUUCACCUGUCAUGUCUCGUGGAUUCUGAGCUUCAACGCGUGCAACACCAAAAUCUGCAAUUUUAAGGUUUCUAUGACCAUCUAGCAACAUGUUUUCUGUUUUGACAUCACGAUGUACAAUCUUUCUCGAGUGCAGGUAGCUGAGACUGCAAUUUGGAAUAAAAAUAAUAGUCAGCACAAAAAAAAAAAAUCAUUUACAGACUCUCAAAACCAAUGAUAAGAUGCAUCCCCUUACCCUCUGGCGAGGUCCAGAGCAAGUUGGACCACAAUCUUAAAAGCGAGUUUCUUUCGCCUAUUUCUUAUCAAGUAUUGUUUCAGUGUGCCACCAGGGAGAUACUCGACAACAACACAGCAUGCUCUAGAAGGAAGGGGAUUGUGAUUGUCAGCCGAAGGAACUUUCGAAGGAAUCUUAAGGUUUGAAGUUCCCAUUGAGGCCCCUAUAAACUGUAACUCAAAAUUAAGGAGAAAAAACAUAGGUUACAACAGAAUUUUUUCAAAAAAGACGAGGAACUCUAACAUUUUAACCUUUACCAAGUUGAGAAUAGCUUAAUUAUGCAAAGAGAUUGCAUAAAAUUUUCAGUUAGAAGGCCAAGAUUACAUUAAGCUUUCCGGUGUUAUGAUGAUUUUCAACAAAUAAACAUUUCAAGGCAGAAAAAAAAAGUUUGGACCUUUGUAACAUUAGGAUGAUCAAGCUUGUGCCAAACAGCAACCUCUUGCCGAAAUGAUGCUCGUAGAGCAGCAGUUUCAGCAGUUGUGGCGAUACCAUCCUCGCCCCAGUCCAGCAGCUUAACUACAAUAUCAAUAUAUAUGACAGCACACUGAGAGCUUGUAAUCAAUAAGAUGUCAGGAGGCUAUUAGUUCUACAAAUAGUCAAUAUUAUAAGAGAGCUGACUAAGACAAUUUCCCCAUAUCCUCCUAUAGAAACCCGAAAGCAUAACUCCUUAGUCCUUACUACACCAAUCCUCGAGGUAACACUAGUCAUGUCCUCUACUAUAUUGUUUUUAAGUUCAGCAAAGGCUAAAAGCCCAGUGAGUGAGAAACUAUCAGCUCCUAUAAAGUCAGUAUUCUAAACCAAACCGUGUUAGUAUUACUAAUCAUGAACAGCAAAGAGAACUCCACUAAAGAUAUAAACAGCUAAAUUAAAUGAAACAAUAUUUAUAUAUAACCAUAUUUAUUUCGAUUGGCAGUUUAGCACACAGAUAUCUUAUAUACCGGAACCGGCUAGCGCUCUACACAAAGGAUAGAGAUGGUCAGACCAAACAGGGACCCUUUAUCACCAUGCCUUAGGCCCUAAUUCAGUUCUACAUAAUGCAUGUUGCUUCAACAUGCAGAAUAAACUACAAAGGGUCUUACCAAUCGAUAUUUUAACUCGAAAAACUAUCAAUACAAAGUUCAAUCACAAUUAACACACACACACACAAUAUAUAUAUAUAGAUUAAGAAUUAACAAAACAUAAUUUUUAAAGCUGCACCAAGCAAACAAGUUACAAAGCUUAAGAACUAACAUAGAUAAUACAAGUAUAUAUAUUUAUAUGGAAUCUGAAAAUUUACCUGCAACAUCUUGAUUAUCAUAAGUGGCACGAUAAACAGUCCCAUAGGUGCCAUGAGCUAUAACAUUCCUUAAAUCCAACUUAGCCAAUUCAAUCUCCCAUUCCUCAGCUGGCCUUUGUUUCUCAAUGUUCCUAGACCAAACUCGGCUCAGGUGCUUCUCCAGCUGCAUGUCUAAGCUUUUUAAAUCAAUUUGAUCAGCUCUAAAGAUCAUGUCUUUGCCACUAAUGCUUCCAUUGCCCUUCAUCUUUGAAUUUCCACCUCCUUCUAGUCCAUCUUGUUUCUUUGGUGCCUUGAUACCUUUAUCUUCCUCACCAGUUUUGAAAUCCAUAGUUAAAAGAAUAUAACAAAAUCACCAAAUAAAAAAACACAAUUAAAGACCCUUAAACUGCAAAACUGAUAAUAACAAUGGAAUUUAAACUCAAAUUAAAAAAUAAGUUGCAAGAUUCCCCAAUUCAGGACAAGAGCAUUAAAUAUCAACCAAGUAUAAAUAUGAUCGGAUAAAAAAAACCCUGUUUCACCAACCCCAAAUCCUAUUAGAACCCUGUAUUCAAAAGUGAACUUAUAACCCAAAUUUUAUGAUUUGCAUUUAAAAAAAAAAAGGAAACUGGAUUUUUGUUUAGACCCGAAUUUAAUGAAACCUGGUAGCUUUAACAAAAAAAAACAAAAUCUUUAAUGUCACCAACUAAUUAAAUAAUUCUAAACAGAAAAGAACAAAAACCCCAAAAAAAAGAAAAACAGAAGAGAAAGUAAACCCUAAGAAAACGACCCAAUCCCCACCAUUACCCGAAAUGAAUGAACCAGAAUUUAAAUUAAAAAAAAUUAAACGAAAAUUUUAACUAAAACCCAAGAAAGAGAAACAGGCAUGCAAAAUAGAGUAAGCAACAUAGAAUAACUUAAAAUUCAGGACGAAAAGGUUGACUUAAAAUUAAAUUCUAUAAGGAAUAACUUGAAGAAAAAGGGAACCAAAAAAAAGAGGGUCGGUGGUGGUGUCGUUAAUUGAAUUGUUUUGAUUAUCAAAAAAAAAAAAAAAAAGGUAAUUGAAAAGAUAAAGGAACCGAGAGAAAUAGUUAAAAAAUUAUAUCUUUUUUUGCGGCUGAAAAAAGGAAUGGGUUUUUUUACGGUAGAGUUUAACGGAAAAGAUAAACAAAAUUGAAGAAUUUAAUUGGAUUUGGAUAAGAAUUACAAGGUAAAUCGCAUUAUUAUAAAAAUAUUAUUAUCCUUUAGUCUUGUUACAUCACACCUUAAAUGUAUCACAUGUUAAAAAAAAUGUUUUUCUAAUAUUAAAUUAUUUACUAUUUAUUAUUUAUUUUUUUCUCUCUUUUCCUUCUCUCCUUCUUAUCACCUAUUUUGAUUUUUAGGGGAAAAUCCCGUAUUUUAAGGCAUAUGACAGUUAUUUUUGUCUGAUUUUGUAAUUUGUAUAUAUACACAUGUACUUUUUGGGCAUUUUUAAGGUAAAUGUUUACCUUUUUACUUCCUUAUGGUGAGUGCUUCAUGGGCAGAUUAAUAAAAAAGAUAAGAGAAGUUCUUGGGGUUUGAUUGUUGAAAACAAAAAAGUUUGAAUUUUUUGAUGUAGAAAUCUCAUGCUGGAUGUGGACUAGUGAAAAACAAACAACAAAUAUGAGAAUCAGGUACUUAUAAGCAACUUUGAAUCAAGACAUUCAAUAUUUUGACACUGGUAUCAACACUGAUAUUGUUAUGGUCAAAGAUGAUGAUAGUGAUAAGGUAUUCUUAAAGUUUUAAUCUUUUUUGGUCUCUAUGAGGUAAAAUUGAACACUUUUUUUAGCCUUAUUUUUUGUUGCAGUUAGGCAAUUUCAUUCAUUACAAGACAACAUUUGUAUCUGGUUGUAUGGUAGGUUUCAUAGCAAUAUGACAUUUAGCUUUGGCUACACUUUUUGUGGUUCCUCUUAUUGCUAAAAUUGGAGCAAUACAUACCAUAAUAUUAGCUAAGCUCUUUGCAAAAACCCAACAAGCUUUAUCACAAGGAGGAAACAUUGUGGAAUGGGUAAAAAAGAUAACUUUUUUUUCAUUGUUUCGAAAUCCGGGUAAUUUUCUAAAUGCAAGUUAAAUUAUAGACAAUGAUUCAAAUUCGGGUUGCUUUGGCUUUUGUCGAUGAAUCAAAAGCCUACUCAUCAACAUUGAAAGUAGCACCAAAGAGUGGUUGUUUUGGCUAGGGUUUGCUGAGAAAGGGAAAUCAGGUGAAAAUGAAGAAGAGAAGGAAGAUAGAGGAAAAAAUAAAAUAAAAUAAAAAUAAGAAAACAGAUAAUGUAAUAUUAAAAAAAGAAAAUAAAUUUUUUAAACAUGUGGCUCAUUUAACGCAUAUUAGAUGUCGUUACCUAAGUAACAACAGAAAACAGUGGAGUGGAGUGACACCUUUGUAAUAACGUGAUAACAUUACUGGCAUUUUUGUAAGUUUGAAAACUUCAAUGGAAAAAAAACAAAAAUUAACUAAUGUUGAGUGACUUUUGGUGUAAUUUACUCUUUAUUUUAUUUAUUUUAGAUAAAAAACUUUUUUAAAUGAAACUUGAAAGAAAGGUGCGGGGUUGUUUCGUUUUUUAUUUUUCUGAAUUACAUCUAAGGUCACUAAAAUAUUAGUAAGUUUACGUUUUGGCCACACAAUUUUAAAAAGUUACAAAAUGGUCACUAAACUAUUCGAAUAUUUUCAUUCAAGUCAUUGAGAUGUUAAGUUUUUUUUUUAAAGUCUGCCUGUCGAGCUCCAAGCGACAAUUCAACUACCGAUACGGAGGAUCAGUACCUAUCAAUGAGUAGAAAAACAUACAUUAAAUCCAAGUCAAUUUGACAGCCAGUGUCGAAGAUCAAAGAAGAAAGCUAUUUAGAUUUUGUUCAGUAGAUUCAUGACGUUCAAGGUUGUUUCACAAAAAAGACUGAAUAGUGGAAAAGAAGGGGAAUGAGAGGUUUCGAUUAGUGCAUGCAGGUGAACUUGCAUAACGGUGAUUUUAAGAUCCUGACGACUUAAAUGAAAAUUUUUGAAUAAUUUAGUGACCAUUUUAUAACUUUUUAAAGUUGAGUGACCAAAACGUAAAGUUACUAAUAGUUUAGUGACAUUGAGUGUAGUUUACCUUUAAUAAAAAAAAGACAUUCGAAAAAAACUAAAAUAAAAUUAUAUUUUAUUGUAUAAAUUUGCUUUAGUACCUUUAUUCUUCACACAUUUAAAAAUUAGUCCUUUUACUUUUAACUUUAGUCUCACAAGACUUUUGAUUUAAAAAUUGAAACCUAAUUAAUAACACUGUCAAAUGAGUAUUAGAUUAUGUGACAUUUUUAAAAUAAAAAAUUUGCUCACAUGGUCAACAUCACAUGUAUGGAAAGUCAAAUAAGUAAAUAAAAAUUGUAAUUUUUUUAAUGCUAAAAUUGGGGUUAUAAAUUGUUUCAAAUAAGUCGAGUGAAAGUCAAUACUUUUUUAUUCUUAAAUGGCUUCCACCUUGAUUUAGAUUGGUCAUGUCAAAUUUUUUUUUUAAAUAUAAUACAAUCCUUUAAUUAUUAAAUCAAUAAAAGAAAGUAUUAAAUUCUUAAAAUUAAAAGUAGAAAAAAUAAAUUUCAAUUCUGCAAAAUAGUAUAUGGACUGUGAGCAAAUUUAUACCUUUGAGAAAAAGCUAAGAACAAAAGGACUCUGUUUUUAUUUCCUGGUUCAUAAAAUACUCAUAUUGCAUAUGUUCUGUUUCCUUAUUGUUUUCUGUGGGUUUUUUACAAAAAUAUUAUAAAAAAAUAAAAAUUUACUAAAAUAUUACAACUUUUUUUUUAUUUACCAAAAUAUAUAAACUUUUUUUUAUUUAUCAAAAUAUGUCAAAAAAACCCAAAAAAAAAUCAGACUGAUGUGACAAUUUACUGGUGACGCCAAUGGAAUUGGCGGCACCAAAGGUGCCAAUGCCAUUGGCGGCACCAAUGGUGCCAAACUAAUUGGUGGCACUACUCGUAUUACAAAUACGACCUCUACCCAGCUGAAGAGAGAAAAAUCAAAAAAAAAAAAAAGAAGAAGAGUUGGCGCGGAAAAGAAGAGAAAAAGAGCAUAAAAACGAGGUAUUUUUUUUAAAAUAAUUGAUUAUAUUGUUGUUAUUAUUUUGUAUAUUUUGUAAUAUUUUUUGUUUUAGUUUAGUUAUUAAGAUUAAUAAAACUCAAAAUAAAAGUAUUAGUUAGUAUUAUUAUUAUUGUUGUUGUUGUUGUUGUUGUUGUUGUUGUUGUUGUUGUUGUUGUUGUUGUUGUUGUUAGUAUGAAGAUGUUAUUAAUGUAUUAAGAAGUAACUUAGUAAUAUUAUUGUUAGUAGAAAUCUAGUAUUAUUAUUAUGGUUAUUUAUUAUUUUUAUUUACGAAAAUAAACUAGUUAGUAAAAAAUUAGUAUUAUUAUUAUAGUUAGUUUUUUUUUAGUAAAAUUAAUAAUUUUAGUGUGUAUUAUUUUGAGUAUAAAAUUAUUAAUAUUAUUCGUAGUAUAAAUUUAAUAAUUUUAGUGUGUAUUAUUUUGUAUAUUAUUUUGAGUAUAAAUUUUUUUUUAAGUAAUUCAGUUACUGUUCGAGAUUUUUUAUGAGAUUUUGUUUUUUUUUUUACAGAUUAAAUAUUGAAGAUGAAUGCUAAGUUUCUUGUAUGCGUUUAUUUCGAUGGAGUCAUAUUGACAACAAGUGUUGGAUGUGUAUUUGAAUGUCGGCAACAAAUAGCAAUGAGAUUUAAUAGAAAUGUAUCGUUCGAUGAAAUGAAGGCAAUGAUUAAUGCAAAAAUCAUAGACGUUGUGGGAGAAAGAUAUCAAAAAUUUUCUACAAGUUUCUAGUUUCGACAAACCCGGUCAAAUUCGUCGAAGUGGAACUUGUAGACGACGAAGACGUGGAGACAAUGGUCGAUCUCUACUAUGGGAAUGGGAGUGAGAAGAAUGCACCGAUUCACUUAUUUGCUGAGUUAGUCGGUAUGGAGCAAAAUGCAUCUGAUGAAGAAGACGGGGCUGAAGAACCGCGGAUGGUGGCUCCAAUAUCAUACGUUGAUAGUGAAUCAACUAUGGGUGGGAUCAGUAUCGACUUGAAUAUUACACCCGAUGUUGACAUGGUUGGUGGUGAAGAAGAAGGUACCGGCGAAGAAGAAGGUGGUGGCGAUCAUUGGGAUGAAGAGGUCGAUAAUGACGCUGAUCCCGAUUUGGACGAUGUACCUGAUGAUAUUGACGCUGAAGAUGUCAACAACGAUGAAGGCAUUAACGCUUCUUCGGUCAGGGAGCAGAUGCGGCGUAUUGUGAUACACAAUAAUCUUGGGCCACACAUGUCGCUCAUAGAUCCCGACGCAGCGUAUGUAUUUGAGUUUCCGGAGUACCCUGAAAUAGUUCAUUCUCACGGGCUGGCCGUAACAUCUGAUGAUGAUGAGUUAUUCAUAGGCCAGAGAUUCAGUUGUAAAGAAGAUUGCGUAUAUGCCAUUAAACGGUACAGCAUGAAGAUAUCGGUGGAUUAUAAAGUCUCCGUGUCUACUCCGACAAUAUAUGUUGGGGAGUGUUGGAAGGCAGCGGAAGGCUGCAAUUGGGGGGUACGAGCUGCAUUCAUUAGAAGUUUUCAGAUGUGGGAGAUACGAAAAUUUGUUGGUCCUCAUACAUGCACAUCAACACGUAUGACAGAAGAUCAUGGAAAACUUGAUUCGAAAACUAUUUGUACGUGUAUCAUGCCAAUGGUGAAGGAUAUGCCGACCAUUAGAGUUUCGGUACUCAUUGCGGAAAUGCAAGCACGAUUACAGUAUCAAGUCUCAUAUCGGAAGGCAUGGGUAGCUAAACAGAUGGCGAUAGAGCAACUGUAUAGGGAUUACGAUUCGUUGUGUAAUGAGAUUCAAGGCUGGAUAGCUGCUAUGCGAGAGUACAUACCGGGGACUGUGAUUGAGUUGCAGACCAGUCAAUCUUACGGCCCGGAUGAGCAGUUAGAGCCGGCAAAAAAGAUUUUCCAUCGGAUGUUCUGGACGUUCGAUCUAUGUGUGCGGGCAUUUCCCCACUGCAAGCCACUUGUGCAGGUGGAUGGGACCUGGCUGUAUGGAAAAUAUACACAGAUACUGCUUAUUGCAGUUGCUCAAAACAGUAACAGAAACGUGCUCCCGAUAGCAUUUGCUAUCGUAGAUAAAGAGAACAUGGAGUCUUGGGAAUUCUUUCUCACAAAUCUGCGGAGGUAUGUUAUUAGGAACGAUAACAUUUGCAUAAUCUCCGAUAGAGGGAAGGGUUUAAUUACAGCUAUUAGGCGUUCUGGUGUGCCGUGGAGAUCCGUUUACUGCAUUCGUCACAUUGCGUCAAACUUCCAUAAAGAUUAUAAGAAUGCAGACUAGAAGAGACAAGUCGUGGCAAUGGGUAAAUGAUAACCUUAUAUUUUCAAUAUAAACUGUAAUGUUUGAUGUUAUCGACUUACUUUAACUUAUUUUUCGUUAAUACGUAUGCAGCGUACGAGUUAGAGCCACAUCUUUUUGACAAUGAUUGCGCAUAAUGGAGCCGUGGCGGUGGGCUCAAAGUGCUGACGAGGGCUUUCGUUAUGGCCACAUGACCACAAACUUAGUCGAGGGGAUCAACGCAGUCUUAUUGAAAACACAUCAUCUUCCGAUUGCAUCGGUAUUUUCUGCUACUUUCUAUAGGCUGGCCACUUUGAUGCCAAGAAUGGGUUAGCAGCAAGUCGACCAGAUUCAGGCGGGACAUGUGUUUGUUGAACAUGUGAGGGAUGCAAUGGUCGUAAACCGUCGGUUGGCGAGGUCAAUGAACGUGAAAAUAUAUUCACGACGACUGGAAACGUUUCGAGUUACUGAAAACAUCGGUCGUCGACCUAGGUCCUACGGAGUUGAUCUCCAGAACAGACGGUGCGAGUGCAGGAAGUUCGAAACACUUCAUUACCCCUGUGCGCAUGUCGUGGCAGCGUGUGCUAAAGUCAACCUUGAUGCUGAACAAUAUGUCGAUGAUGUGUACACGCUGGAGCGCACAUUGCGUGUCUAGGAGAAUGAGUUCCCCGUCCUGCCGGACCUAUCUACGUAGGAGGUGUCGUCGAUCACUUUCGAGCUUCUCCCAGACAGAGGGCUACGGAGGAAUCCAAAGGGUCGUCCGCAGUCGAGCAGAAUCCGUAAUGAGAUGGACAUUAGGGAGAAAUCUGACGGAAAGCGCUGUGAAAUAUGUAGGUUAAGUGGUCAUAGUCGGAAUAAAUGCCCUAACCGAAACUUUCAUGUUGGACAGUCGUCGGGAUCGGGGCAAAUUUGAGCUAAAGCUAUAAAAUUUUUAUGUAUGUUGUUAUAAAAUUGUAUCCAUAUUGUUUCCAGAUUAAGUUAUAAGAUACAAUGUGAGCGUUGUGGAAUUAUUAAGAUUAUAUCGAAAAUAGAGGCAUUCAUAAUUCGAUUGAGCUUUAAUAUAAUGAAAAAAUUAAAUAAUUGAUAUCUAUACAUAAAAUUAAGAACAUCCGAGAUAUCUAAAAUACAAAUAGUACGAGUUAUAGAAAAAGUGCAUUAAACCCCUACAGUUGAUGGUUCGAUGGUGUUGUCCGGGGGGUAUACCUACGCGGAGGUCGACGCUCACGGCCUGGGCGACGACCAACAUCCUCAUCGUCCGCAGGUGGGGGCGAGGAAAACAUAGAGGGAAUGUCCUGUCGCUCGUUCGCCACCGACGAACUUGAACCAUCAUGAGUCCCAUAAUGCGGCAGAUACUUGUUAGACAGGCUGGGCAUGCCGUACUGCGGCCGAGGGGAGCCAAACAGUUCAAAAUCGUAUGCAUAUUCACCCUCUGCGUAGCUCGGAUAAUAUUCACUGCCCAACAAAUCCGGUCGGUAGCCAUGUGAUUCCUCAGUUGAUUCUGAUUGUCCGGGCUCUGCCUGUUGUGAAGGAUAAAAUACCGUCGGAUCCGGAUCUAUCGAGCCGUCUGCUUCCGAUCCCCCAACUUGCUGAACGUACGGGGGGAUUAUUGUCGAUUGCGCUCCAAGUAAUACGGUCGAGAUGGCUGCAGGCCGGUAGCCAUAACCAUCUGAGGAAUUCAGCACAAUCAAUCGUACCAUAGUGCGACGUAUUUCCGGUGAUAUAUUCCCCAGUCUAAUUGAACUCUUCCUCUCUUUGUCAAGCCGUGAUCUCCCCCCAACUGGCACGGUGGAUCCGGGAUAGGUUGGAUGCAGCUAAACUGCCGAAACACCCGAUCGCCGUGAUACCACUCGACGACGUUGAAAUUUAUAAUUGGUGUGUUUGUGUACCAUGUGUGGGAAUCAACGAGUGCGGACGGGGGUACAACAUUUGUAAUCUCCGGCCUCCGGUACGGCAUCCAUAUAAACUGCAUGAGUAAUAACAUUGUAACGAGUUAGACCGAUAACAUGUGAGUAACAUAUAGAAAUACCAUGUAUGUCAUAAAUAUUAGAAUAGAAACUUACCCCUUCCCGGGCAUGCUAUUCAAUCCUCAUGAGGUAUAUCGGGACAUCACACGACUUCCUGAUGCCUGGACGGGUCGUCUACCUACCAAAAAUAGUAUAGGGUUUAGGGUUGGUAACAUUACUCAAUAUAUUAUGACUACAAUAAUGACAAUUUUUAUUUUAUCACCUGAGUGGCAGUGGAUAUAGAUAGGGUUAGUGACUAACGCGUGCCAAAAAUGGCAUCCGAUAAAGUGCCCAUGACUGCAGCAGUAUGAGGCAUCCGCCGAUGUCUUUAAUUUUCGGCUCUGUCGCCCGACAAAGCUCCUUGUAUAGCGUUGCUAGAACGGCCGAACCUCAACUGUACGACCUAGCCGUGGACAAAUCAGCAAGCACAGGCAAGUACGACAAAUGCACACUGUCGCCGUUUGUAUCAGGCAUGAGUAGUGCCCCUAUCAAAUGCAUGAUGUACGCUCGAGCAGCGCACAUCAACUCAUCUUCACUGGCGGUCACUGAUAGUCGACAAAUUUUGGCUCUUAGCCAUGUAAAUUUUAUGCCGGAAAAAUAUUUAUCACCGUCAUCUGGUGACUCUCCUAGGAGUUGAUAGCAAACUGCAGCCGGAUCGAUUAAUGAAGAUAGUCCCGUAACGGGACUCCCGUCAACUGGGAGCCCAAGCUGCACUGCAACGUCCUCCAACGUCACCGUGCACUCCCCGCACGGAAAAUGGAAAGUAUGGGUCUCCGGACGCCACCGCUCCACUAGCGCGGAUAAUAAAUCAAAUCGCAAGUCGGAGGACCGGAUCAAUGCUACUGACCCAAAUCCGGCUAGCUCCAGGUACGGCAUAAAUCGUGCAUCCGGAGCUAUCUUUAAAACACUCACGCGGCCCCUUAAUACUCGGAAGGAGUCCUGAUAGUGUUAAAUAACAGAAAAAAUAUUACGAUUGCAUAAUUUAUUUCUAUAUAUUGUGUAUAUCCUUUUUAAAUAAAUAGAACUCCUGAUUAACAAAUAAUAAAUCAUACCGCGUUAUUAGUCGCAUAAGAUAUGUGUCUAAUACCGCUUCGAAUCAAUUCAGCCAUUGCGAUGCCUGCAAGUUGAAAAAAAGUUAGUAAAAAAAUCUAACUUCGGCCAUUUAUUCGUAUUUUUUUCUGCGCAUUUUAUUCCUUUAAAAAUAUCAUAAUUCCUAAUUUUAUAUUUUUACAUUCUUUCAGUGCAUAAUGUUUGAAAUUUAUUAAUCGAGUGUGUUAUUUAAAUUAAUUUGCUGUAAAAAAUUAACCCUUACCCCUGCCCUUUGCUCAUAUAAUUUUCUCAAUUUUUUUACUUUAAAUAAAAAUAUAUUAUUCUCCUAUUUUAUUGUUUUAAAUUAUUUCAGUAUAUUUUCUUUGAAAUAUUUUGUAUUAAUUGUUUCUGAAUUUUAAAAAAGUUAGUAAUACACUCUUACUUCUGCCAUUUGUUCGUAUUUUUUUCUCCGCAUUUUAUUACUUUAAAAAAUAUCAUUAACUUAGUCUUUUAUAAUUUUACAUUAUUUCAGUGCAUAAUGUUUGAAAUUUAUUAAUAAAUAAGAAGGGAUUAAAAAGUAAGUACCCACAUAUUAGUACCGCCUUUUUAUUCCCCUCCAUAACAAUUUUUUUUCCUCUAUUCUUUUGGUAAAUAAAAUAAAACUUUAUAAUAUUUUGGUUUUUUUUUUGUAAUAUUUNNNNNNNNNNNNNNNNNNNNNNNNNNNNNNNNNNNNNNNNNNNNNNNNNNNNNNNNNNNNNNNNNNNNNNNNNNNNNNNNNNNNNNNNNNNNNNNNNNNNNNNNNNNNNNNNNNNNNNNNNNNNNNNNNNNNNNNNNNNNNNNNNNNNNNNNNNNNNNNNNNNNNNNNNNNNNNNNNNNNNNNNNNNNNNNNNNNNNNNNNNNNNNNNNNNNNNNNNNNNNNNNNNNNNNNNNNNNNNNNNNNNNNNNNNNNNNNNNNNNNNNNNNNNNNNNNNNNNNNNNNNNNNNNNNNNNNNNNNNNNNNNNNNNNNNNNNNNNNNNNNNNNNNNNNNNNNNNNNNNNNNNNNNNNNNNNNNNNNNNNNNNNNNNNNNNNNNNNNNNNNNNNNNNNNNNNNNNNNNNNNNNNNNNNNNNNNNNNNNNNNNNNNNNNNNNNNNNNNNNNNNNNNNNNNNNNNNNNNNNNNNNNNNNNNNNNNNNNNNNNNNNNNNNNNNNNNNNNNNNNNNNNNNNNNNNNNNNNNNNNNNNNNNNNNNNNNNNNNNNNNNNNNNNNNNNNNNNNNNNNNNNNNNNNNNNNNNNNNNNNNNNNNNNNNNNNNNNNNNNNNNNNNNNNNNNNNNNNNNNNNNNNNNNNNNNNNNNNNNNNNNNNNNNNNNNNNNNNNNNNNNNNNNNNNNNNNNNNNNNNNNNNNNNNNNNNNNNNNNNNNNNNNNNNNNNNNNNNNNNNNNNNNNNNNNNNNNNNNNNNNNNNNNNNNNNNNNNNNNNNNNNNNNNNNNNNNNNNNNNNNNNNNNNNNNNNNNNNNNNNNNNNNNNNNNNNNNNNNNNNNNNNNNNNNNNNNNNNNNNNNNNNNNNNNNNNNNNNNNNNNNNNNNNNNNNNNNNNNNNNNNNNNNNNNNNNNNNNNNNNNNNNNNNNNNNNNNNNNNNNNNNNNNNNNNNNNNNNNNNNNNNNNNNNNNNNNNNNNNNNNNNNNNNNNNNNNNNNNNNNNNNNNNNNNNNNNNNNNNNNNNNNNNNNNNNNNNNNNNNNNNNNNNNNNNNNNNNNNNNNNNNNNNNNNNNNNNNNNNNNNNNNNNNNNNNNNNNNNNNNNNNNNNNNNNNNNNNNNNNNNNNNNNNNNNNNNNNNNNNNNNNNNNNNNNNNNNNNNNNNNNNNNNNNNNNNNNNNNNNNNNNNNNNNNNNNNNNNNNNNNNNNNNNNNNNNNNNNNNNNNNNNNNNNNNNNNNNNNNNNNNNNNNNNNNNNNNNNNNNNNNNNNNNNNNNNNNNNNNNNNNNNNNNNNNNNNNNNNNNNNNNNNNNNNNNNNNNNNNNNNNNNNNNNNNNNNNNNNNNNNNNNNNNNNNNNNNNNNNNNNNNNNNNNNNNNNNNNNNNNNNNNNNNNNNNNNNNNNNNNNNNNNNNNNNNNNNNNNNNNNNNNNNNNNNNNNNNNNNNNNNNNNNNNNNNNNNNNNNNNNNNNNNNNNNNNNNNNNNNNNNNNNNNNNNNNNNNNNNNNNNNNNNNNNNNNNNNNNNNNNNNNNNNNNNNNNNNNNNNNNNNNNNNNNNNNNNNNNNNNNNNNNNNNNNNNNNNNNNNNNNNNNNNNNNNNNNNNNNNNNNNNNNNNNNNNNNNNNNNNNNNNNNNNNNNNNNNNCUUUCCUCUCCUUUCUUUCUUUCUUUCAAUCCUUCUGCCCCCACCACCGACCCCCCCUAUAAUACCAAUUGGUGCCGCCAAUACCAUUGACGUGACCAGUAAAUUGUCACAUUAGUCUGAUUUUUUUUUUUGGUUUUGUUUUUUUUUUGUUUUUUUGAUAUAUUUUGGUAAAUAAAAAAGUUGUAAUAUUUUGGUAAAUUUUUAUUUUUUUAUAAUAUUUUUGUAAAAAACCCGUUUUCUGUCUUUUAAUAUUAGUGAACCAUGUUGUUUCUCAUUUUUUUUAUGUUGUUUCUCAUUUUAAUUGAAUUAUGCAAGCUCAUUUUAUAUUUAUGAAACCUAAUAGUUUCAUAAUUUUUUAAAAUAUUAAAUAAAAAAAUUAUCAUUUUGUGUACCAUGUACUAAUUUAAAAUUUUAUAAACUUUAAAGAAAAAAAUUAACAAUUUUUAUUUUCCAAAUCAAGAUCUUGCCAACCCCCUUAACGUCGCCCCUUCCUCCAAUUCUUAGUACGUGCUUUAUUAGAUUAUUAAUUAUUUAUACUUAUUCCAUUCUAAAUGAGAUGUGUUAUUCUUUCAACUUUACCAGUAGAAUUUAAAAAUUUUAUUAAUCAUAUAUCAAGAAUUUUUAUUUAUAAUAAAAUACAUAUUAAUAAUUCAAAUACAACAUUAAACAAUUAAAAAUACAAGAGUCAUAUUUAACAUUUUAUAAAAAUAUAAAUACCAAAUCUCACAUUAUCUCAAAUUUAAAAUAAUAGUGAAAUAAUGGCAUAUAUGAAGCGAAAGAAUCCAAUGGCAUUUAUACAAAUUUACGACACUUGCUAAAUAUUGGAACAUAAUGUUUGUCAUUUAUGGAAUAAAAAAUCUGCCUUGUUCCUUCACGGUUCUACCGAGGACAACCUUACUUUACACGAUUUUAUUCUCUCCUCUUUUUUUUUUGUUUUUUAAAACUUUAUUACAAAGAAAUAAAAUGUUAGGGUUGAAUAAAUUAAAUAUAGUCACAAAAUUUAAUAUUGACUAAUUUAAUUUAAUCUCAAAAUCAAGAAGUUGAAGUGUAUAAGGAGAGUUCUCUUUAAUUAUCAUCAUAUCAUAGUAUAAAAUAAUAUAUAAAUACAUGUAUAUCAAAAUCAUAAGUGUUACGUAAGUUGGCAUACAUUAUUCUUAAUUGGAAAUGUUGAGUUUCCAAUGGUGAAUGGUAGACAAAUGCAUCAUAAUCACAUAUUAUAUCAACAAAGACUUAUUCCUUUGCAAGCUGUUUUUACAUCGUCAAUGUAAAAAUUACAAUUAAAAUAAAUUUUAAUUUUAAUUCAAAUUGGUUUUAAACUCGGGUCACUUUGAUUUUAUAAAUAAAUUCUUUUUUUAAAAAUAAUCUCAUUUUAGAUUCUGAUUAUAUCUGUUCUUUUUGAUACAAUAUCUAAAAUUAUUCAUAGUCUCUCCUCAGCACAUAAAUAGGAAGAUAAUGUACUUCAAGCUUUAGUACUCUCGAACUCACAUCUUCCUACAUUAACAAUAAUAUUCAUACCAAUCGUUACCCGAACUAAACUAUCACAUAAAUUACAUAUUAAUUUUUAUAAAAAAUUGUAAUUCGAUUUCCACCCCAACCUUUUUUUUUCCUUUUUAACUUUUUGCUCUUUGCAAAAUUGAUAGAAUUUCUAGCUUGCAAGUUUCAAUCAUGUAGUUUCCAUGUUGGGGAUAUGCGCCAACUACUUAGGGUCAGUUCUUCAUUGCUUAAAAAAUGUACUUCUGACUUUAAAAGUACUUUUGAAAAAAAAGUUGUGAAUAACAAGCUGCAUUUGGCUGAAAUUUUUAGGUUUUCAGAAGUUGAAAAUUUUAACUUUUCAUUUCCCAAAAGCACUUUUGGUGCUUAAUUACUUUUUCACCCAUCCAAUAACAUGGUAUUUUUUAUUUUUUUUUCUUGGUGCUUAAUUACAAUUGUGUUCAAAUCAUUAAUUAAAAAUAAAAAAAUAUUUUUAAAAUACUAAUUACAAAUAUUUAAUGGUUAUAUUUAAAUAUUUAAAAUAUAGUUUAUAUAUUCUAAUUAAAUUUUAUAAAUAAUUAAUAUUUAUUGCUUAAAAAUAUUUUAAAUUUAUAUUUCAUAUAUUAAAAUAUUAACAACAAAUUAUAAUAAUUUUUUUAUAUUCUUACUAGAAUAUAAUAAUAUUAACUAAUUUAAAUAUUAUUUAAAUGCAUAUUUGUUACUUGAUAAUAACAUGUCUAAAAUGAACAUUUUAUUUCUCAAAAGUACUUUUUGACAGCAAUGCUAAACACUCAAAUUUUAAACCAAACUUUUCAAAAGCACUUAUCAAAAGCAUUUUUCCACAGCACUUUUCAAAAGCACUUUUCAAAAGCAAUGAAGAGCUAACCCUUAAUCGCGAUGAUAACAUUAUUGAACCAUAUUAGUUUAAAAUUUGAACUUUUUACGGAUGAAUUUAUCUUGUCUAUAGGAUAAUAUUAAAAUUUAUAAAAAAAUUACUAUAUGAUAAUAUUGUAUUUAAAAUUAUAUAAACUAUUAAAAUGAUAAAUUUACAUUUCAACUCUCGUAAAAAUAUACUAUUUUUCACUUCUGAUUAUGUAUAUAAAAUUUUGAAUCGUUUAAAAUAUUGUAUGAAUUAAUUUUUAUUGAAUGGUUAAAAUUUUUUGUAUAAAAUAAAUAUUUAAACUUUUUUAAUUUAUGCAAAAUUAACAUGCAAUAUCUAUAUUAAUGAAAUAUAUAGUAACACUAAGAUGAAAUAAUGUGGUGGAGUAUGGCCCAGCUGAACAUUGGGCCCUUCUUGCUUGAAAUUGGGCCAAUAGCAUUGAUUGAGUUAGCUAACUUCAAUUUUUAGAAGGAUCUAAGGAAUUAUUAAAUCCCAAAUAAUUUUGUACAUGCAUGAAAAAAUGGGUCACACUAACUAAUCUUUAUUGAAGAAUGUGUCAAUUAAUAUACAGGUUUUAAAGGGUAAGUUUUCUAGGCUUUUCUUAAAAAAAUCUUUUUAUUUUUAUAAAUAUUUUAUUGUAUUUUGAUCAGCAAAUUUGUUGUUCUAAUUUUAUUCGAUUAGAAUUUUCAAUUAAAAUUCAUUAUUUAUUGUAUAUUUAAUUUAAAAAAUAUUUAAAAACAUAAAAUAUAAAUAAAUGAUAUGUGUAUCACCUCAUUAAUUCUGUUUUUGGAAUUUCCAGGAAUCCCAGUGAUGAUUAGCAUUUGAUGGACUGGGUUGGUGCUUUGGUGGGUCUAAGGCGACCAUAAAACAAGAUUCAUUGGUGAUUUUAUCAUUUUAUGGGCAUUUUUACUUGGGGCCACUUUAUUUUCUUUGGGAAUUUGUAGGGUUUUUAUAAAGGUUUAUUCUUUCUUUUUAAUCAUAUUUAGUCUACGAUGAAACAUUAAUACUCAAUAUUGUUGAUGCUUGGUUCGGAAUUGGUGGUUGAGGGUGGUUCACAUUCUGUUUGGUGCUGAGAGUUACAAUUGAUGUUAUGAUUUUAAGAGAAAGAAAAAAUAGUUAUGGAGAAGAGAAACUAACAUCUGAUAUUUUCAACGGUCUUUAUUCGAGGAAAAAAUAUAUCAUUAGUUUUUUAGGGAACGAUGACCCACUUAACAGGGGAAAUGAUCCUAUACGACAGGAUUGGACAUGAUUAGAUUGAGUUAAUUUGUUUGGUAGUAAAUUUCGACGUGAGUGAUAAGAGUGAUGGACACAUUUAAUACGAUUUGAUUGGUUAUUGAGUGUGAAUGUCAAAAGUAAUAGGUAUAACGGUUCCAUUUAAUACAAUUCAAAUAGUUGUUGGAUUGAGUCCUCUCUUUCAUACAAGCGCUUAUAUCAUCUUUGGGAAAGGUUACGUAUAGCAAAUUUUAUAUAAAAUUUGAUAUGGUUUAUAUGAUUUGUAUACAUAAACUUAAAAAGAAUUUUAAGAUAUUAGAUUAAAUUGGAUUUUAGGUCAUUCAAUACUUAAAUAAAUUUAGAUCAUAUUUUCAAAAUCAUUUUAUUUUUGAAAUUAAAUUGUAGUAAAAGACAAUGAUGAGUAGAAAAACAGAAUCAUUUCCAAUGACUAGGGGGAAAUAAAAUAUGUAGGCAUUUUGUCUGAGUAGUGGGAUGCAUAGUGGCUUCAACAAAGAGAUUAAACCCUAAAAAGGCAGAAUUUGAUAUCUGAAAAUGGUUUCCCAACUUACAAAUUUCACUCCUUUCCAUGUCGGGAAAGUAAUGAACUUGCUGAAGCAAAGCAUCAUGGGCCAUGUCCACCACCUAUGAACAGCCCAUUGUCAUUUUCUAUCUUUCAUCAUCCCACCCUAUGUGGGAAUUCUCUUUCCUUCAAAAUACGGUUCAAAUUUUAAUUUGAUCAUAUAAUUUUUAAAACGUUUUAGGUUCAUGUGAAAGAAUUUUAAAAUAUGUUUAUUAAAUUGUAAAUAUGUGUAUAUUUAUUGAAUUGAUUGUUUUGAUUCAACAUGUUAAAAAAUAAGAAUGUGUGAAUAAAUUAUUUGGUUUUAAUUCUCGUUACUCAUUAUACCCUUAAACUAUUAAAUUGAAAAAAAAUGUACACUUAAACACUCUCGAAUCUAUAUUUUAUUAGAUAUUACAAUAUUAAUCAAUCUAAUUUUAAAUGUGAUUUAAGGCCCAGAUUAAUGAUAAGAUUAACCGAAUGACUUAAUUGAUAAAAUAUUAAUAUUUUAAAAACUUAAUUAGAAUAUUUUGAAAUUUAUAAACCCUAAUUAAAAUUUACAUUGUUAUUGUCUAAAAUCAAAAAACAAAAAAACAAAUAAUGGUUUACUUUUGAUGAGCUUUUCAGAAUCUUCAAGUGGGGGUGAAACUACUAACAAUAGAUACAAGCCUAGCUGGCUUUUUCACUACAAGACGAUAACACAAUCUGGAAUUAUUAUCUUUAUGUCGGCGUGGGUGCCCCCAUUCCCAUUUUCAUCCUCUCUUUUCCCCUUUCUCCACCUUUGUCUUCUUUCUUCGGAUUUUCUUGGAAAAGUUGUAAUUAUGCUCAAGAAAAUAUAAAACGUUAAUUUUUUUAAAAUAUUAAGUCCCAGUAUAUGAUAAUAAUUAUUAAAUUUAAAGGUUGAUUUAAACAAAAAGCUUAGAUUGGUGUGAACCCUAAAGUCUCCCCCAUUCCAUCUACUCUCAUCCAUCAUCUACUUUUUUGCACACCUAAUAAUAUUUAGAGUGAGACAAAAUGCUUUUUUUUUCUUAAUUUUCUUUUGCCGACGAGACCUCAUAGAAUAGACAAAUCGGGGAUGUGUGUUCUUUUCUAAUACGAAACAUAUAAGAAAUAGGUAGAUGUGAGAGGAGACUAGGGUAAGAAAAAGAUUGAAGUGUCGGUGGUUUAAGGUCUUCUGGUGCCUUCAAAGCAUGGCAGCUUGCCUUUGGUAAUGAGUAAACAUCAAUAGUGCUUGAAAAUGGAUGAGAAAUAUGACACUGUAACUCCCAACUAUUCUUUAAGUAAACUUUUAUUUGUUUUUCUCUGUUUCGAGUCGCGUACUUUUAACAAGUUCAAUGAUGUUAAUUAAUUAAUUACAAUUAACUAAAAUAAUCUAUCUAUUAUUCGAAUACGAGACUUCAAAAUUUUCAGUAACCCUAUCGUAUCAUUAACCCCUAAAUUUGAUACUUCGAAGUAACCCUAUCAUCUAUUUUUGGUGAUGAGCCAAUGCCAAUGCUUUCAUUGAUAUAUAUAUAGAUAUGAAUGUAGCUUGGAUUAGAUCAGUUUUGAUUAACAAAAUUUAGUUUAAAAAAAACCAUUAAUGAUUUAUCAAAAUUCCAAUUGUUAGACUUAUAUGGCAUGAUAUUGUUGUUUUGUGUAUACAUACCUUUCUUUUACGUAAUAUAAAUUAUUAAAUAAGUCAAAAUUCUUAUGAAUAAUUUAUUUAGAAUAAUGAUUAGAGUGUUUGAUCGACUUUUAAAUGACUCAUCAUUUUCGUUGAUAUUGUAUUGAUGAUAAGAAAAUUUAUGAUAUUGUUCUCGUCAUGGAUGUUAGAACCAUGCUAGCUGAUUGAAUCGGUAUUAUAAAACUAGAGGAAUGAACCUAUGCAAAGUUGAUUGAAUCGGUUUAAGAAUCGUUUGAGCUUAAUUUAAGCUAGUUUAAAUAUUUAAUUUGUUUGUUAUAAUUUAUAAAAUAAUUGUUCAUAUUUUUAAAAAAAUAUAUUUUGGUACCCAAAAAGGUAACGGUGCUAAUUUUUUUAAUGUUUAAUUUGGGCUUUAGCAUUUAUUUGAUAAACGUUAAUUACUAAUAUUAUUAGGUUUAGUUUUUUUCAUGAUUUUGUGUUUAAUUUGUCAAACAUAAUCUGAUAGAAGUGAUUUAGUUUAGGUUUUAUAGUUGAUCUGAUUAAAGUUAAUUGCUAAUAUUGUAAGCUAAUAUGAAUUUUCAUCAAAUCAACUCUAAAUCCGAAUUAAACACUGAAAAUUGACACCAUUACCCUUGAAUACCAAAAUGUCUAAUUUUUAUCAACUACAGAUAUCAUAUUAGAUAAAAAAUAACAUAAAUUCCACAUUAAAGAAAAAAAAAGAGAAUAUCAUGCUCAAAUAUCAAAUUAUAUAUUAAACUCUUCAUUUUAUAACGAUUAAACUAAAAACUUAAUUUAUUAAAUCUAUUAAAUCAAAAAUCGAUAAGAUGCAUAAUCGUCACUUGAUUCACAUGUAGUUUCAUAGUCAAAGGUCCAGCUUUUAGUCACCAGUACAUGUGGGGGAUAUAUUAUUAAUUCUACGGUAUUGAUUUUUAGACUUUGGACAGUUCCAAAAAUUUAAUUGCAGACCUAAAAGAAAUUAAAAAAGAACAUAUUGGUUAUUACUUAUUACCUAAUUUCCUAAAUUUGGGUUUCAAUUAUACACAAAACCCAAUUUAUUGUACCAAAAAAAUUCAAAAUUUUAACCCAAAAAUCAUGAUUAAGGUCCUUAAAUUCACUUUCCCUUAUGUAAUCAUGUUUAAUUGGCCAUUGUUGGUAAGCAUCUUCCCUCAUCUAAUACUUCAUUUUUAUUUCCUUUUAUGAAAAAUUGAUUAUGAUAUAUCACCUUUACUUUUUGUACAUUAGACUUUCAAUAGUUGUUACUUUGCCUUCCUACCUUUAAAUUAAAUAAAAAAAAUAGUAAAUGAAGCAUGUGAAUAAUACAAAGUUUGUCAACCAUAGCAUUUUAAUAUUUUCAACUAAUAGGCCAAAGUUUGGCCAAAAUUAAUGGACGAACUACCACUUUGUUAGGAGUAGUUUUAUCUCUACCUUAAAUGUGUCCAUAAAUUACUUAAUUAUUGCCAUAAGAAUUGCACCAAUGAAGUUUAGGUAGUGUUGAUAAAUGUAUUAUAGUGUAUGUAUUUUAUCUAAUUUUAUUUUAAUUUAGAUUUAAAUAUAUUUCGAUUAUACAUUGUUAUGAUUAUUUUAGUUGUAGUUAUUUGGACGUGUAUUAAUUAUACUUGUGAUUGUAUUUAUAGCAUUUUUAAAUAUACAUAUAUAAUUGUAAUUUUGUGUAGAAGUGUUAAUGAAUUGGUUGGCCAAGGUGUUUUAAGCGACCUUGGUUCAUAUUUUUCAACCCUAAGUUGAUUUAUUUUAUUGUUUAAACAUAAUAAAAAAUAUAAAAAAUGGUAUUACUGUUCAUGUAUUUUUUAUAAUUAAACUUAAAUAAUAAAAUAGGUCAUUUUGGGAGACUUGGAUUAACCGAGCUCGAGUCUGUAAAUUUUUUAAGAAUUGACCUUGACUUAUCUUGAUCUAUUAGUAUCUCUAAUUUCGUGAGUGAAUAACGUGAAUAAAAAAAUCGACAAUCUUCUUAAUUAAUAAUUAAAAAAUCCAAAAUCCUCUUGAUCUAAUAAUUAAGAAGAGUUUACUCUAAUUUGAAGGGGGGAGGAUAAAAUUUACCCUUAUUUUAUAAGAAAUGUUUUAAACUUUUAUUUUGUAAAUUUAGUUAUAAAAACAAUGAAACAAAUUUUAUUUAUUUAUUUUAAAGAAAAAGUUGAAUAUCUAAAAAGGAGAAUGGAUUUCUUAUAAAAUGACAGAAGUUUCAACAUUUCUACGGGCCCACCAUUGAAAAGUAGCAAGCUACCUUAAUAAAGGAAACCACUUUUAAGAAAAUGACAAUUAUUUCAUUGUAUAUUGUUAAUUAUAAUAUAACUACUCAUAUUAUUUUCUUUCCGUACCAUUCUGUAUUUGAUUUACUUGCAAUCCAUAUUAUUGGAAUGAAAAUUUAGUGAUGACCAUUUAAUUGAAUUAAUCGGUAUAAUUAGAUUUAACUAAAUUGAUUUAAAUAUAUUAAUUCCAUCAAUGGUAAGUUUGUGUAAGUAACCAUUGAAUCCACUAAAUUAACUAAUUUAAUAUAAAUACAUUAUAUAAACAAAACACCGGAAAUUAAAAUAUAUAACUUCUUCUAAAGGAAAAUUCAUUAAUUCAUUUCAUAAAUGGGAUCGGAUAAUUUGGAGCGAAAGAACAACAAACACUUGUUGUAAGCAGGGAAUGAUAAGUUCCACCAACACAACAAAUAUUUGAGUCUCAGCAUCAAUAGAAUAUUAUGACAUAUUGACGGUUGACUUUGUCAUAACUUAAGCAUGACAUAUCUGGAGUGGUAGCAAGCACUUAAUUUAUAAGAAAAUCAACCCAGAUGGUCCAAAUUGGCGGGCAAAAACUGGCCAAAGAAUCAAGCAUCCAUGAAACUAGAGAGGACGGCGACAAAACCAUCACUAAAAUCACUUGCAAAAGCAAUACUACAUGCAUAAGCAAAACUAAAAAAUGUGCUAUAAGAGCAGACAAAAUUUCAAAUACUAAAACUUAUUAGACGAUGAAAAACAAACAAAAAUAUAUAUAAAACUUAAGACAACAUGGGUCCAAACUGACUUGUGAACUGGGGCGUAGCAAGGGGGCUGGCAGGGGUCCCGACCCCCCUAAAAUAGAAAAAUUUUCAUUUAGGCCCUUUAAAAUUUUAAAUUAUUAGAAGUAAAAUUAUACUUUGGCCCGCUAAAAAUGAUAAAAUCUGUUUUAAUCCUUUAAAAAUUAUAAAGAUAUAGGCUAGAAAAAUAGUGUAAUUGCAUUUUACUAUCUUAAAAAUUACAAUUUAAUUAUGGCCCCUAUAAAACAUUCCUGGCUUUACCACUGCUCGUGAAAUCAAUUAUUAUUUUGAAAUACUCUCAAACCAGAAAUAAAUUAAGAAAUUGACGAAAAGCUACCAACAGUUUAGCCACCCACUUUUCAAGAGAAACUGUUGGUGGCCGGUGGAGUUUCAAUGACAACAGACACCGACUCCAUCGGCCACCAUUAUCUAUCCUUCACAACUUGUGAAUACAACAAAAAGACUCGCAAAAUAGAUCUGCAAACUGAAAAGAGAGAAUUACAUGGAGUGAAUGAAGAGAAUAAAUGAUGAGAGAGUUAGUGGGAAGGAGAAAAAGACGGGCGAUACAUAAUCCGGAAGUUAACACCGCCGCUGAACAAAACAAAAGAGAAGAAAUAAACAACUUAAAGAAAAAAGAUAAAAAAAUUUCAAAUAUAUCAUGAUUUUAUAUAAAAUGAAUUGUAAAAGAAAAUAUAUUAAACCAUGAUUUUUCAAGUAAUCCAUUAUUUAAACCAAUUCAAUAUUAUUAUCAUGGAAAAUCAAUUAGUUGAAGGUUUCAAAAAUGAAAUAAUAGUUUACAUGAAUAUUAUAUAUAUAAAAAAUUGCAUGCAAGCUAAUAAGAACUUUAUUUAAUUUAUCAAAUGCUAACAUAUUAAUGGUUGAAGAAUUUGGACAGUUCUAAAAUGAUGAAAAGGUGGUAAGUAAUAAAUUUGUUAUUUAAUUUAUCAAUAAUAUAGAGUAAUUUUUACAAUUUUUGGUUGUCUUGAUUUAACCAAUAUAAUUUAAGUGUUUUCUAUUGAAGAGUCAACUUGCUUAGCUAAUAAAGUUGUAAUAGCAAUAAUGAAUCCUUGAACCCAAAUAAAUUUAUAAAAAAAACAUAUCCUUGGAUUCGAAUUUUAGAAAUUUGAUAUUUUUUUUUGUCUGCAAGAUAUGACCUAAAUGUAAUGAACCUUUUGUUUUGUAAAUUAUAUUGCUUAUUUUGUGGUGUGCUUUUUAAUAAAUAUAAAAUUCAAAUAUUUUAAAUGUUAUUUAAAUGUAUAAAAUUUUAAAUAUCUGUAUAUUCAUUUAUUUCAAAUUAAUUAUUUAUAAUACAAUUACGAAAGAAUAUCAGGAAAAUUUAUAAAAAAAAAACAUGGUUUAUUAUUGAGACGUAGAAAUACGUAUCCACCACUCAAGUGCUUAAUUGUUCUAAUUAAUUAACUUAAAAAAGCAUAUGACUUCCUUAAGCAAGUUAGGUUUAUUAUUGAGGGUGUGAUUUGUGUGAAAGCUUACCAACUGUUUCAAAAAAUAGUUGUGCGAUUGGAUAUGCAUUUAAGCUUAAUCACAAUUAUUUUUUUUGAAUAAAAAAAAAAAGCAGAACGAAAUAAUUAUUAUGAAAAAAGAAAAAAAAUAUUUUUACUUUAUUAAUGAUUAAGGAAAAAUAUGAAUAGUUAAAACAAAAAACUGUGAAUAUUAUAAAUAGUUGUUUUCAGAUUUAUUUUGAUCAUACCUUACUAAAUGUGAAUAAUAUCUAUUAUUUAUACACAAAUAAUUUAAUCUAAGGUAGUGUGUAGCCUUUUUUUAUUUAUAAAAUAUAUAUAGUUUUUGGUUAUUAUUCGUUAUGCUUUGUACUUGGUUAUAACUUUUUUUUAACAUUAAUCUCAUUAUAGGUUCUUAUCAUAUCUGCUCAUUUUGAUACAAUAUUUAGAACUACCAUAGCCCCUCCUUAACUCUUAGCCCCUCCUUAACUCUUAUAAUGCGCUUCAGUUAGAGGUGCUCAUGGGCCGGGUGGCCCGGCCCGGCUCGACGGCCCGUCUGAAAUAUGGGAGAGUUUGGGUAAAAAUAUAGGCUCGAAAUAUGGGUUUGGGCAAAAAACGAUGGGCCGGGCCUCGGGCACAACUUUUUUGGCCCGACCCGGCCCGAUAUAAUAAAUAUAUUUAUUUUUUUAAUUUUAAAAUAUUUUUAAAAUACUUUUUUUAAUUGUUUUAAUUUUUUAAUUUUAAAAUAUUUUUUAAUUUUUAAAAUAAAUUUUUUGUAUUUAUUAAAAAAUGGGCUGGCUCGGGCCGGGUCUGGGAAAAAUUUUAGGUCCAUAUUUCGGGCCCGGGCCUAAGACCCGGGUCAAAAUUUUUUAUGGGCCCGGCCCGAACCCGGCCCUGCCCAUGAGCACCUCUAGCUUCAGUGCACUCGAAGCCACGUCAUCUUGCAUUAGCAAUAAUACCGAUACCAAUCAAGUUAAGACUCAAUCGGCUUAUAAUGAGAGGUGGCAACUAAUACAAAAUAAUUUUUGUUCAGAUUUAUUUUAAUUAAAAUUAGAAUAUCUAUUAAUUUUCUUUUCUUCAACAUUUUUUCUUAAAAAAUAUCAAUGAAAUCAUAUAAUUAUUUUAAAAUUUAAUAUUAGGUAAAUUUAGAACCAAAUCUUAACAUUUAUUAUUAUUAUUCACAAGCCACAAAUUAAAAAAAAACUAUAUAUAUUCAACUUAUAUUAAAUGAAAAUAAUAUUUUGUUAGAAUAAAUAUUAUAGAAUUUGUAGAAUUCAGAGUUCUUCAGCAAAGCACAAGACACAACAAAAGCAUCAUUAAUGGGGAAAUCCAAAACCCAAGAAAACAUUAAUGAUUGUGAUCUUAAGCAAAGUUAUAGUCAUGGUUAAUAUUCACUCAAGGUGUUUAUACUCUUAGUAUAUUCACAAUUUAGCUCUCUACUUUUAUUUUUAUAAUUAAUCCAUUUAUUUUAUAGAUUUUAAAAUUAAACUUUAAUUGUCAAUAAUUUUUUUAUUAAAGUAGUUGGUAUUAUAGUUUGAAAUAAAAAAUACUUGUUGGAUAAUUAUGUAAUAAAAAACAACGUUAUUAUGAAUAAUUUAAUAAAAGAAAACGAUAUUAAUAAUUAUAUUUGCAUUUUUUACAUAUGAAAAAAAAUAUUAAGGCUUCAUUUGCUUUCUGAAAAUAAUUUCUAUUUUUUAUUUUAAGGAAAUGAUUUUUAUUUUCUAUUUACUGAAAAUGACAAAACAUAAAUAGAAAUAAAAAAAAUUGUUUUGAUAACGACAAUAUCAAAAAAUGUUUGGUACAUAUUUUUAAUUAAAACAAUGAAAAUAAAAUUUUAUUAUUUUUAGUUUUCAAUUAUUUUUAUUUUUAAAAGAUCAUUUUUAAAAAUUGUAAAAAAAAUAUGUUUUCUUUUGAUAUUUUAAUUUUCCGAAAAAACAAAAAUGAAAAUGGCCGUUGUUUCUUAAAAUUAAACCGAGCCAUAAUUUUAUAAAUAUACAGCAAUUAGGGGCAUAUUUUAACACAUCUAAUUUUUAUUUCCAAUUAGGAGAGGCAUCCAAUUUGACCAAAUACCAUAAACUCUCCCAAUUAUUAAACGACGCAUUUCAAAACUUUAAUUUGAACAAUCCAAAGUCUUAUUCGGUCUUCCCCUUAAAUGCAAAUUACUUACUUAUUUACAGUGUGGCAAAAAAACUCCAAUCUUUAUUCAUAAAUAACUUUCUUUGUUUACUUUGCUCUUUUCUUUUUACUUUCUCUCUCUCUCAUUGUGUCUCUUUGCCAAAUCUAAGAAUAUAAUGCUAAGAAACUCAUUUGGAGAGAGAAAGAACCAAAAAAACAAAAAUCACAGAAGAGUUUGUAAGAGAUAACAGAGCAAUGGGGUAACUUUGAACAAGAUGCGGCUGAAGAUUUACUAUCACAGCUGCUGAUCAUCAAAAUCCCAUUUCCCGGUUUUUUUUUUUUGUGUUUUUGGUAUGUUAUUUUAUCCAAACUUUUGUUAAAAACUUGUUCUUUUGCUGUUUUCUUAAUUACCCAUUUGCUUAAAGUUCAUGUUUUUGUUUUUUCUUUCUUGCAGUUUGCUUAAAUUUUAUGUUUUUUUGUUGAAAAAGAUAGCUAUUUUUCCAGAUUUUGUUCCUUUUUGCAAGUAUUUGAUGUUGGUUUUUGGGAAGAAUACUUAAAUUAUUUCCCAGUUUUGUUCGUAUGGUUCAUUUCUUCUUCCUUUUUUAAGACCACUCUUAAAUAAAAGUUCAUGAUCUUUUCCCAAAUAGAACCAAAAAAAACAAAAACAGGGUCAUGUGCUUCUUUGAAUUGUAGAUUUGUAUGAUGAAAUUCCUUCUGUAAUUGGACCACUGGGUCCAAACAACUUUUAUGGCUUUCUUUUUUUUAUUGAAUCACUUUCACUGCAAAGUACAAAUGCUGUAUGCUAUAUGCUUACUUUUGGGAAUCUUUGUUUUGAAUUCAUGGUAUUUCUAUUUGUUUAAUUGAUUCUUUACAAAAUUGAAGAUCUGAUAUAAUCCUUUUUUUUCCCUUUUCAGUGGAGUGCUUGUUAGCUUUGAAACAUGGAAGAGAAUCUCAUCGUUGCACAUCAUUGAUCUUUGACUGAAUAGGUAACUUAGGUUACAUAGAUUAUCGGGGAUUUCUAUCAUUCGAUUAUGUGAAUUUUGUUGCUCUAAAUGCAUUCCAAGUAGUUUGACUUGAAUAUCUCUGGUUGUGUAUAGGUGCAAGUGAUUCAGAAUAAAGAUCUAUUAGAGUAGUGGAACAGAAUUAGAUUGUUAUUCUGGCCUGGACCCAUUACUUGAGUUUUUGUAAAGACCAGGCUUUUGCAAAGCCGAAACUCGUUGCGUUAUUGCUUGUUGGUGGAAUUAUGGCAACUUCAUUACAUUCCGAGUCUAGACGCUUGUAUUCUUGGUGGUGGGAUAGUCAUAUCCCCAAGAAUUCUAAAUGGCUUCAAGAAAAUCUUACAGGUAUGAGUUUUCUUUCUAAAUACUUUGCCGCGAUGGUCUAUGAUGAUAUAUGUGUAUAUAUAUGUAUAUAGUUGAUAAUCCAUUUAUAUCACUAUAUGCUACACUCAGUUGCAAUGAUUUUCUGUUUCAACAGAUAUGGAUUCUAAAGUUAAAGCGAUGAUCAAACUGAUCGAAGAAGAUGCGGAUUCUUUUGCAAGACGAGCGGAAAUGUAUUAUAAAAAACGGCCGGAGCUCAUGAAAUUAGUUGAGGAGUUCUAUAGAGCUUACCGCGCUUUAGCAGAGAGGUAUGAUCAUGCAACCGUUGAGCUUCGCCAUGCCCAUAAAACCAUGUCGGAAGCCUUUCCCAACCAGGUUCCUUUCGUAUUGGAUGAUGAAUCAUCCUUGGGCUCUUCAGGCCCUGAGGUUGAGCCUGACACACCAGAAACCCCGCAUCCUUUUCGUGCAUUCUUUGAUUUGGAUGACUUGCAAAAGGGCUCUGGGAUAAACAAAAGGGGUUUAAAGCAGUUGAAUCAGAUGUUUGAAUCGGGAAUAGUGUCUCCAAAUGCCAACAUUACUGUGAAGAAGGGGAAUGGUGGUGAAGCCGAGGAAAAUGAGCAGAGUGGGUUAUCUCAGUUAUCGAUUGAGAAUGAAAAUUUGAAGAAUCAAGUUCUUUCCGAAUCUGAGCGUGCAGGUAAAGCUGAAACUGAAGCAGAGUUCUUGAAGAAAACUCUUGCCGAGAUUCAAGCCGAAAAGGAAGAUGUCCUUCUUCAUUACCAUCAGAGUUUAAAGAAGUCAUCUAGCCUUGAGAGAGAACUUAACGAAGCACAAAUGUAUGCCGGGAAUCUUGACGAACGAGCCAGCAAAGCUGAAAUCGAGAUCAAAGUUCUGAAAGAAGCAUUAAGUAAACUUGAAGCCGAACGAGACGCUGGUCUUCAUCAAUACAAUCAGUGCUUGGAAAGAAUAUCCAGCUUGGAGAAUACCAUUUCCCAAUCCCAAGAGGAAGCAAAAGGGCUUAACGAGAGGGCUUUCAAAGCAGAUAUUGAAGUUCGGAAUCUUAAGAUAGAGCUUUCUAGGUUAGAAGCUGAAAAGGAAGCUGGUCUUGUUCGAUACAAGCAGUGUCUUGAUAUGAUAUCAUCAUUAGAAAAUAAAAUCUCACUUGCUGAAGAAAACGCGAAAAUGCUCAACAUGCAAAUCGAAAGAGCUGAAAGUGAAGUUAAAGCGCUAAAAGAUGCUAUUGCUAAGCUGAAAGAAGAGAAAGAUACUAUGGCUCGGCUGUAUGAGCAGUGCUUGGUAACGAUUGCCGAGUUGGAGAGUGAAAUUUCUCGUGCCCAGGAGGAUGCAAAACGAUUAAACAAUGAGAUUGUAGUCAGUGGUGAAAAAUUGAGAAGCGUGGAAGAACAGCGUGCUCUGCUGGAGAAAUCGAAUCAAUCUCUACUAGUAGAGGCCGAUAAUCUGGUGCAGAAAAUAGCGAUUAAGGAUCGUGAACUUUCGGAGAAGCAAAACGAUUUGGAGAAACUUCAGACAUCAUUGCAAGACGAGCAUUUACGAUUUGUGCAAGUCGAGGCUACACUGCAAACUUUACAAAUGUUGAAUUCGCAAUCUCAAGAGGAGCAGCGAGUUUUGACAUCGGAGCUCUUGAAUAAGCUUCAAAAGUUAAACGAGUUGGAAGCAAGCAACCAAAAAUUGGAGGUAGAAAUUGAUCAAGUGCAGGGUGAAAACCGGAGCCUCAAUGAAUUAAACAGUUCUGCCACUGUUUCGAUGCAGAAUUUAGAAGAUGAAAUUCUCGGCUUGAAGGAACUGAAAGAAAAACUUGAAAGUGAGGUUGCAGUACAAAUGGAACGAAGUAAUAUCCUCCAGCAAGAAGUUGACAAAUUGAAGGAUGAAAUUGAGGUCUUGAGUAGUGCAUACCAGGCAUUAAUUCAACAGCUGCUGUCUGCAGGUUUAAAUCCUGAAUGUCUUGAACUGUCAGUGAAGGAAUUACGAGAGGAGAACUCGAAACUGAAGGAAGAAUUCAGCAAGCAAAGAGGGGAGGCCGAAGUUCUUUACAAGAAACUGAGAAGCAUGGAUGAUCUUUUGGAGAAGAAUGCUGUUUUGAGAAGUUCAGUGUCGGAAUUGAAUGGCAAAUUGGAAGGGUCGAGGGAGCUUGUUGGGGAAUUACGGAAGUCCAGUGAGUUUCUUUGGGGAGAAAAAUCUUCACUUGCCGCUGAGAAAUCGGUUCUUCUUUCUCAGUUACAGAAGAUGACUGAGAAUAUGCAGACGCUCUUUGAGAAAAACAGAUCGUUGGAAAGUUCCCUUUCUGGUGCUAAUAUCGAGCUUGAAGGCUUGAGAUCAAAGUCAAAGACCUUAGAAGAAUUCUGCCAGUAUCUCAAAAACGAGAAAUCCGUUCUUGCAGGUGAAAGAGACAGCCUGAUCUUGAAGCUCGAGGAUGUUGAAAAGAGGCUAUGCAUCCUUGAACUCCGAUUCGAUAAACUGGAGGAAAAAUAUUCUGACCUGGAGAAGGAGAAAGAUUUGACACUCUGUCAGGUAGAGGAACUACGGGAUUCCCUCGGUGCGGAACAACAAGAGCGUGCCUGUUAUGUGCAGUCAAGUGAAUCACGGUUAGUGGAUCUCGAAAACCAUGUCCAUUUACUACAAGAAGAAAGUAGGUUCCGGAGAAAAGAGUUCGAAGAAGAAAUUGAUAAAGCUGUCAAGGCUCAGGUCGAGAUCUUCAUCUUCCAAAAGAUCAUAAAAGAUCUCGAGGAAAAAAACUUGUCUUUGUUGAUUGAAUGUCAGAAACAUGUCGAGGCGUCCAAAUUGUCGGAUAAACUAAUUAGGGAGUUGGAGAGUGAAAAUCUUGAGCAGCAGAUAGAAGGUGAAUUCCUAUUGGAUGAAAUCGAGAAACUAAGAUCUGGGAUUUAUUUAAUUUUCCGAGCUCUUGAGUUUGAUCCUGUUAACAAACAUCGGGAUGUAGUUGAAUCAGAUCAAGUUCCUCUUUCAUGCAUUCUGGAUAAUGUUGAAGACAUAAAGAGUUCACUAUCGAGAAACCAGGAAGAGAAGCAACGACUGGUAGUUGAGAACUCGGUGCUGUUAACUUUAAUCGGACAACUUAAAUUCGAGGGCGGCGAACUUGAGUCUGAGAACCGAGCCCUUGAGUAUAAGUUCGAGAUUGUGGAAAAGCAGAAUGCGAUGCUGCAGAAAGACAAGCGGGAGCUUCAAGAGAUGGACCAGCAGUUGAUGUUGGAAGUGCGUGACGGAAAGAUUGAGAAAGAAAUAUUAAACGCGGAAUUGGAGAGUGAACGUGGAAAGUUGAAGAGCAUGCACGGAGCUUGCUUGUUAUUAGAGGAGGAAAAUUCCAAGCAGCUCGAAGAAAACAGACUUUUGCUCGAGAAAUUCUCGGACCUCAAAGAGGAUAUGCGUGUUCUUGAAGAUGAGAACAGUGUUGCCCUACAAGAAGUGGUAGCCCUUAGUAGUCUCUCUCUCAUUUUAGAGACCUUUGGUGCCGAAAAAGCCGUUGAAAUCAAGAAAUUGGAGAAGACGUUGAACAAGAAAGAAGCUGAAAUCUCAGAAUUGAGUGAAACUGUUGAGAAGUUACGCAAUGGACUAAAUGGUGUCAAAGAUUUGAACGACCAAUUAAAUUAUCAAGUCGUUAUCAGAAGUGAUUUGCUAAAACAGAAGACCAUCGAGCUUUCAGAAGCAGAUGAAAAGCUUCAGGCCGCACAUAACUUGAAUGCGGAACUGUACCAGACUCUCGAGGAACUGAAGAGGGAAUAUGAGGAAUCUAAACAGAUUAGAGAAAACUUAGAGAGGCAGAUUGUUGAACUAUCGGAAGAUAACAAAGAACAGAAAAUGGAAAUCGAACACCUUCGUGAAGCAAAUGACAAUUUGGGUUCCAAAGUUGUUACAUUACACAAGGAAAUCGAAGAAAAAAAGAUUUAUGGACAAAACCUGAGUCUAGAGCUACAAGAAAAAAGCAAUGAGUUCGAGCUGUGGGAAGCUGAGGCUGCAUCAUUUUACUUUGAUUUCCAAGCUUCUGCCGUUUGUGAAGUUCUACUCGAAAAUAAGGUACACGAGCUUACUGAAGUUUGUGAGACACUCGAAGAAGAAAGUGCUGUAAAGAGUGCACAAAUAGGACAGAUGAAGGAAAGGGUUGAGUUCUUGGAAAGUGAAAUUGGAGGGUUGAAGGUCUCGAUGUCUGCCUAUGUUCCUGUCAUAGCUUCACUGAAAGAUAGUAUAAUAUCCCUCGAGCAAAUUGCCCUUCUUCAGCCAAAGCUUUGUGUUCCAAAUGGUGACGAAGAUAAGGUAAAAUUAAUUUCUACAUUUAGGGAAUAUUUACGGUUGAAACUGUUUAGAUAUGCUUGCAUUAUACUACAUUUAAAGUUCUAUUUAUUUGUUUUCACCAGGAUGUAGAAAUGGUUGAUGAACUUUAUGUGGUGAGCUCGGAGAAACUCGAAGAAGGACAAAGUGCGUUUUUGACAUCUGGGAUUUCAGACUUGCAGGAGAUGUGCACUAAGGUUAAAGCAGUCGAAAAAGCUCUGGUGCAAGAGAUGAAUAGGCUUGUGAAGCGGAAAAGUAACAAGAACAGCCACGAGAUUGAUGCUUCAUCUAAAGCCAUUAACCCCUCUAAUUCAGAAAUGAAGAAAGCUAUGCAAGUUGGUGAAGAGGUUGCUCGAAAACUCAAGUCGAAGAAGAUGAAACCUGAAAUUUCUGAAUUGAGAAAUGGGAUAUUGUUGAAAGAUAUUCCCCUGGAUCAUGUCUCUGAUUCUUCAUUAUACAGAGGGAGCAAGAGUAAGAGAGAGACCAGCACAGCUGAUGAUCAAAUGCUUGAACUAUGGGAGUCUGCUGAGCAUGAAUGUGGUGUUGAUUCAAAAAUCAAUGACAUGCAAGAACGGGUGUUUGUACCGGGGGAGAUCAUUGCUUGUCAUCAGUCCAGUGAUCUAGAACCUGAAAACGAGAGUUCUUUGGGAGCAUUGGUGGAGAAAGAGUUGAGCAUUGAUAAGUUAGAGAUAUCUACCAGCAUUAGAGAACCAAAGAAACGAGCUAAAAACCGAAAGGUCUUAGACAGACUUGCUUCUGAUGCUCAUAAAUUGAUGGCUCUUCAAACCUCUGUCAAACAACUGAAAAAGAGAAUGGAAAUCAAGAAGAGGAAGAAGGCGUUCGAUUUAGAAUACGGACAAGUCAAAGAACAAUUGCAAGAGGUGGAGGAUGCAAUCAAGGAGUUGUGCAACGUCAAUGGUGAAUUGACCAAGGAUGUCGAAGGGAGUUCUUCAUCUUUAGACGGGACAAACUCAAUGGAAUUGGAAGGACCUGGAAAGAGCAACUUGAAAAAGGUACGUGAGCAGGCAACAAAAGGGUCUGAAAAGAUCGGAAGGUUGCAGUUCGAGGUGCAGAGCAUCGAGUACGUUAUGCUGAAACUAGAAGAUGAAAGGAAGAACAAAGGGAAAACCCGAACCGGUGUCCUCUUAAGGGACUUUAUCUACAACGGUGGAAGACGGAGUGGAAGACGAAAGAAGGGUUGUUUUUGUGGGUGUGCAAGACCUUCUUCUAGUAAAGACUGAGGCUAAGCAUAUACAGACAGACAGAAAAAAAAAAGCCCUGUUGUUGCUUGAUAAGAUUCAAAGCUUGCCUAAUUUUCAAGGAAUUUAUAUGCUUAGAACCUGUUUUUAGAGCAAAUUAUCACUUCUAGAAUUAGGUCUUGAUGUAAUCAGUUAAUAAGCUGUAUACAGCACUCUAUCUAGUAAUUUUGAGCAAACUAGUAGAACUUGUUAUAUAUCUAGUUCCAUUUUAACCUGUUUUUAUUUAUAACUACAAUUCAGGGUAUUUUCAAGUUUGAGUUGGGUUUUUUUCAACACAGCAAGACUACAAGCUAAUUUUUUUUAUUUGAAAAGCAAAUGAAGUAUAAACAUCUUAAAUGUGACCCUAUAUGACAUUCAUGUAUUUGUCAUUCAUAUUAUGAAUAUUUUAAGGUAAAGAUCAUAUUUAUUUUUACCAAAGGGUAACAUAUUGUUUACUCAAAUAUUAAGUUGCAAAAUCAUAUCCUUUUAACAUCAAAACCAUGGAGAAAUUCUCUACUACAAUUUUUCGACAAAACUAAAAUGAUCAGCAAAAACUCCUAGAAGCAUAAAAAAACAAGACAAAUUCAUGGACUAUUGUUCUUCGUUCAAGCUCCAACAACCUCUGCAGGAGCCUCAGCCAUUGUCUCAUCAGCAGGCCUCUCUAGUUUCACACCAACAUCCUCUGAGUAGUCACCAU